rnacentral:lncRNA from 1 species
UUUUUUUUUGUUGGUUUCCUAUUUUUGGGGGAAAGGUUAGUCAAACCUAGUAACAUGGCAUAUAAUUUUGACGAUCUCGGAAUGAGAAACUCAACGGUGAAAUGGUUCAUGAUUUGGACGCACAGUUCAUGAAAUAAAACCUUUAAAAAAACAAAUCUACGAAAAAGUGUAAAAGUCAAGUUGCGAAAGUAGCACACUAACACCACCAAAGAAGGUCGGAGUGUCCAUGUCGCUAUCCUCUUGGUGGUGUCGCCUUCAAGGUCAUUGGUCCCAUUCGCGCAUUCAUGGAGCUAAAUGUGCACGACAUUGUGAUCGGCAGAUGCUCGGUUGGCGAUGUGAAUGGUUUCGCAUGACUUCUUAUGUGGCAACGAUAGCAGCUUCAGACGGAGUAGGUUUGCAGCUAGAUUUUGGUAGUCGGUCUCAUCCGGUGCGUGCGAGGGGUUGUCGUGCAUCACUUGGUCUUUCUAGAGUCGGAGUUGCUGAGGUGGGCCCUUGCGGCGACGAUGACGUGCGGCGGGUGGUUAGUUCCGGAGCUGGCUUGGCGCAGACCCAACACUUUUUCUCCUGCAAUGCUCGUCGACAGAGUCGGAGUUGCCUGGUCACCGGCACGUGUGGUUGACGGUUUGGCUUUCGUCGGCACAGACCUCGACGCUUGUUUGCGGUGAUGGCUUCGUGGCUGUCAUCGAUGGUCAAGUCACAGUCGCUGGCUCGCGGAGAAGUGAUGACGACGGCACCGGAUGGCAACCUCGACAGUCCUUUUCUCCUCGAUGGUGUGUGUGUGUGUGUGUGUGUUCUUGUGUGGGUUGUUAGGCCGUCCGGGGUGCCUUGUUUUUGCGAGCAUGUUGUGACAGUCUUCGUCCGGUUCUCCGCAGAUAAACCAUACAAAUCUUUCCUUCUUUUAUAAGAAAUCGAGAUCAUCAUGGGCUAAGUUCUGUAAAAAUAAAUCCCAGCCAACACCGAGAUCAACAGAUCAACUUAUGUGAAUAAACUUGGUGGCUUGCCUGUCUUCUGUUUUAAUUAUAAAAUAGAUAAUAUACAUCUUUCUAAAUAAAAACAUGAAGUUUUUUAAAUUACCAUGAACAUUUUAUUCAAAGGAAUGAGCACUUUUUAAAGUUUAAUGAUAUUUCAAAAUACAUGAAAAAAAUUAGAAUAAAGCAAACAUUUCAUGUUAAAUGUGUGAAUACUUAUUAACAGUAGAUGAACAUUUCUAAAUACAAUUUUUUAAAUGUAAAAACACUUCAAAAAUUGUUUGGGAAUUCUUUUGUAAUAUGUGAACAUUUUUAUUACAUAAGGAAUGUUUCAAAUAUGUUCAGAGGGACCAGCAUCUUUUAGAAUGAAUAAAAAAAUUAAAAAAAUGUGCAGAAGAGCAAUAACGGGCCUGGCCCAUGAGGUAUGCGACUGUGCGAUUUUCACUCUAUUGGGCGCCCAACCUUGCAGCCCAGAGCACGUGCCUCCGUCUAAAUGAGGAGAACCCCUCUUCGGCGCCCUCAACGUCGGCGCAGGAUCGGUCCCGUCCAGCAACAUGUUAAAACAAACCGGGAGAAGAACUAUAUCCACGGAUGUUAUUAUAUUCUGCGAGACAAGGGAUUCAAACCCGCACGCCAACAUUUACCUGCUUGGCGCAUUAACCAUUGUACAACAAUCAAUCUGAUGAGUUAUAAUUGAAGACGGCGCCAUUCUACCGUUGUUUCAGUCCCAGUUAGGAUUUUUUCGAAAAAGGAAAACAUAAAUAUGAAACAAAAUUCAUGAAUAUUAAAAAUGUUCAUCGAUUUUGCAAAAUGGAUUAACGAAAUUUCCCCAAAAAGAUCAAAAAAAGUUCACCAGAUUACAAAAAAGGUUCACGAAUUUGAAAAACGUUCACUUAUUUUUAAAAAGUUCAUCAAUUUUGACAAAAAAAAUCACCGGAUUCUGAAAAAAAAAGUUCACUGAGUUGAAAAACAUUCAUCAAUUUUGAUAAAAAAAGGCCAAGAAUUUUAAAAAAAGUUCGUCGAUUUUGGAAAAAGGAUUACAUAUUUAAAAAAGCAAGAAUAAGGAAAAAGUUCAUCAGUUUUGAAAAAGUUGACGAAUUCCAAGAAGUUCACCAGUUUUGAAAAAAGUUCAUCAAUUUUGUGAAAAAAGUUCACGCAUCUUUCAAGAGGAACAAGAAAAAGGAAAAAGAAAGGAAAGAAUGGAACAAAAGAAGGAAAGGGAAGUAACGAAUCACAUUAUGUGGGUUGUCUAGUUGGUUAUGGUAGCUAAUCCCGAGCGAGGAGGUCACAGUUUGAAUCUCACCCGUGCAGAGUUUUUUGCCCUUUAAAACAGGAAAAAGAGACAAAUGGGGCGGUCCAGCGUUGAAGGGGAGGUAUGAGCCCGUUUGUGGAAAACGAAGUAAGGGGCGCUGAAGACGCUGAAUAGGGUUUGGCAUAAAUGAGACCUCUUGUUCCCCGCAUAGGGUAGAGCGAGACCUCGUGUUAAAGGGCGCUGGUAUGUCUCGCCUACAGCGAGACGAGUGGAAGUUUCGCUGAAGGCGAGCUCCAUAUUGGUCCGGCCCAUCGCGUCACUGACCACAGGGAUACUUUCAUUUUUUACUUUUCUUCAAUUUUAUUUAUACUUUUAUAGAUAUUCUAUAUUACAAAAAAUAUUUGAAUUAUGUUGACCAAGCAUUUGAAAAAAUGUUAAAUGCAUAUAGAGAAAAUGUUUAUCAUGUAUACGAAAAUGGUAUACGAAAAAAUGUGUAUGGAAAAAUAUGAAUCAAGCAUUUGAAAACAAUGUUGAACAAGUAUUUGAGAAAUGUUAAAUGUGUAUAGAAAAAUGUUGACCAUGUGUUAAAAAAUGAUAAAAAUUAUCAUGUAUAUAAAAAUGUCAAUCAAGCAGUUGAAGAAAUAUUGAACAAGUAUUAAAAAAUGUUAAUCAAGCAUUUGAAAAAUAUUAAAUGCGUAUAGAGAAAAUAGUGACCAUGUAUUAAAAAUAAUGAAAAACUUUGAUCAUGUAUAUAAAAAUGUUAAUCAAGCAUUUGAAAAAAAUAUUGAACAAGUAUUUGAAAACUGUUAAUGAAGCAUUGGAAAAUGAUAAAUGUGCAUAGAAAAAUGUUAAUCAAGUAUUUGAAAAUGUUCAAUGUUUACAGAAAAAAAUUGUCCAUGUAUUCGAAAAAUGUUGAAUAUGUAUAGAGAAAAUGUUGACCAGGUAUUCAAUAAAUGCUGAUCUUGUGUUUGAAAAAUGUUAAACUUGUACUAGAAAAUUUUAUUAAAAAUGAAGACAAAAGAAAGAAAUAAAAAAAGGCAUGGAAGCUGAAAAAAACAAAGAAACCAAAGAAAAACAAAGGAAAAUAGAGAAAAGAAAAAAAAUGAAAACAAAGAAAGAAACAAAGAAAACCGGUGUAAAAACAAAAAUAAAAAAACGGACGGAGAAAACCGACUAUUUUACCUAAGUAUGUCGCGCCCUACAAUUUCACCAUGAACUCGACACACACACAGUGGCUAGCAUCUCUAGCAACUACUCCCUCCGUUCCAAAAUAUAAGAACAUUUUUAACACUAGCAUAGUGUCAAAAACGUUCUUAUAUUUUGGGACGAAGGGAGUAUGUGCUAAUGGGUCAGUUUAGUUGCUACGCGAGACAGAGAAGUCCUUCAAGGAGAUAUCCUUCUAACCCACUUAAUGUGAGAUAUAGUCGCCCCGUGUGUUCAAUCCUUCUAACCCACUUAAUGCAAGAUAUAGUCGCCCCGCGUGUUGAAUGCCCGAAGGAGUGAAAUCACUAGCUACUUUCUCAUAUGCUGACAAGUGGCACACUGCAUAUAUGUCAUUUGUCGCAAUAUGGGAGUUUCCUUUUUAUUGUAGGAUUUUCGUUAAAAACAAAAAAUAAACAUGAAUCAACAAAACGGAGCCGUUUAAAUUUGUGCCUCCAUGAGAGGCAAAUCUGUGCUUGUGGAAACACAUUUUUUUUCAUUUUGUGCUUCUCACGGAUGUAAAUCUAUGCUUCUUAUGGAAGUACAAUUUUUCCCCAAGAUGCAUAGUUGUUCUCGCGGAAGCAAAUCUGUACCUUCACGAGAAGCAAAUUUGAUUAUUUUUCCUUUUUCCCGCGGAGGUAAAUUUGUGCCUCCAUGAGAAGCAAAAAUGUGUUUCUCACGUAAGCACUUCUUUUCCUUUUUCCAAUAAGCACAACUUUCAUAGAAGCAAAUUUGCACUUCUCAUGAAAGCAAAAAAGAGCGCACAAAAUAAUUCAUGAUUUUUUUCCUCCAAAACCUAGCGAAAAUAGGAUGAAAACCAUAAUUCUAAAAACCCAAAUAAAACUCAUCUAAAACCCAAAAAUGUGUACGGAAGAGGGAGCAUCCAGCAUGAGACAUGUGGUGACGGCUGGACACACCAUUUGGCAUGCUCUAAAGGCAUCAAAAGUGACCUCUGGAAAUGAUGUGUCGGCUAUAAAGGCGUCCGUGAUGACUUCGUCAAUCUUAAAAUGAUGUGUCGGGUCUAAGAUAAAUUCAGAAAAAUGCUAGCACCAAUGUCAAAGUCUAGAACUUAAACUCUGAUGUUGGGUUAUUGUAUCUUUGAUAAAAAUGAACCGUGAUGGAGAACCAACCUAUAUUUGGAUGAUUAGGAGAUUAGUGAUAUACCUAGCCCACCACAAAACUGUUACGAAGUUUUUACUUAUUCUUCCUAUCUAAUCUCUCCAUUCCCUGAAUUCAGCUGGGUAGGCCUCCCUCCUCUAAUUUCCUCCAACCAAAAAAACCCACCUCGAUUGUUACAUUAUUCACGUAACAUUUCUUAUGUAGGUGUAGCAUUGCUAAUAGGUGUUAAAAAAGACUCCAACGCGAUUUACGAGAGCGGACACAUCAAAUGUCUGUGUACAACGGUUAGGAAGACGGCUGAGGGAGUCCUGGACUAGGGGGUGUUCGGAUAGCCGGACUAUACCUUCAGCCGGACUCCUGGACUAUGAAGAUACAAGAUUGAAGACUCCGUCCGUGUCCGGAAGGGACUUUCCUUGGCGUGGAAGGCAAGCUUGGCGAUACGGAUAUGUAGAUCUCCUACCGUUGUAACCGACUCUAUGUAACCCUAACCCUACCCCGUGUCUAUAUAAACCGGAGGGUUUUAGUCCGUAGGACAACAUACACAUCAACAAUCAUACCAUAGGCUAGCUUCUAGGGUUUAGCCUCCUCGAUCUCGUGGUAGAUCUACUCUUGUACUACCCAUAUCAUCAAUAUCAAUCAAGCAGGACAUAGGGUUUUACCCCCAUCGAGAGGGCCCGAACCUGGGUAAAACUUCGUGUCCCUUGUCUCCUGUUACCAUCCGGCCUAGACGCACAGUUCGGGACCCCUACCCGAGAUCCGCCAUUGACACUGACAUUGGUGCUUUCAUUGAGAGUUCCUCUGUGUCAUCGCCAUCAGGAAGGAUGCCUCGCCCCGUCUUUAAAGACGGCACCGUUGCUAAGGGAGCUUUGGCUGUCGGCCAAACCCUCUGGUUAGGUGGCUUUCUUAUGACCGCAUGUUCGGCUUCUGCGUCGACGAUGACCUCUCGAGCCAUCGAAAACAAUCUUCAUGUCAACUCGGAACUCGCCGAGCAGUUAGAUCCAAUAGAGCUUUCCUCCAUAAACGAGCUCUUGGAUCGCUUCGCCGCCCUGGGAGUCGCUACGGAUUACGACCAGAUUGGGCCUAAAACUGAUCUGAGAGAGAUUAACUCUCCCCAAGUCACCCAUCACGUUGCCGUGGUAGAGGGACAGUGCGGCGACCCUUCAUCUAUCUUAAGGACUCGCUACGUCCGGAUUCCCGAUCCCUCCAAGCCGGAUACCCGCGGAGGGGAGGAUAUCACUCAAGACCUGAACUUAGAGUCAGGCGACGGGCUGGAUUCAUUAGACAACAUCCAGGAAUCCAAAUUUUCGAGUUCAGAAAUUCCUCGGCCUCUGAGCCUUAGAUGGGGUGAGGCUUCGGAUUUAAUUCCACCCACCCACCCAAACAUAAGCGAUCUAUCCAAAAUCAGGCAAGAACCCAAUGAAACAGUACAUCAUUACUGGGCCAGAUUCCUCCUGGUUAAGAACAGGCUAAGGGACUGCCGCAAGGAAGACGCAAUCUCAAACUUCUGCAAUAAUUGCACGGACAAGGGAAUACUCAACGCCAUAAGUCGCUGUGAUAUUACACGCUUCACUGACUUGGCGUCCAUUGUACGAAAGUACUGUGCGAUGGAAAGCGCCUGGAAAACCGAAAUAAAAUUUUGGGACAAUCCGGCCCUGAAUACAAACCCAGUCCAAAAUAAAAGGGUGCAUCAUCACCAGUCACCCGGGUCAAGCACUAAAAAGCAAAAACCCUCUACAGGGCAUGGAACCGUACUGGAAGGGUGGCUUAAUGGACCCUGUAAAAUUCACAGUACAGAGGAUGCCACACCAACUCACAGCCUCAGAGCAUGUUGGAUACUCCGGCAGGUGGCCAAAAUUGGCGAAAAUCUCCUAAUUCCGGAGGCCACAGAAAGCCACCCCAGAGACACCAAUACGGUAUUAACAGUCUUCGAGACUUCCGCAUCAAAUAAUAUGCGAAAAAGGACACUCCGCAGCCUUGCCGAAGUCUACCAAGUAGCAACAAUAAACCCAUGGAAUGACACGGCUAUUAUCUUUAACGCCAGUGAUGAACCUAAAUUCCGAACGGCCCGAGCACCAGCCGCAUUGGUCCUUAGUCCAAUAGUGGACGACUUUCGUCUUACCAAGGUACUCAUGGACGUCGGCAGCGGAUUGAACCUCAUUUAUGAGGAGACCCUUCAAAAAUGGAAAUAGACUGGAACCGCAUUGAGCGAAGCAGCACAACAUUUAGAGGAAUAAUCCCCAGUCGGGAAGCGCGUUGUACAGGAAAAAUCACACUAGAUGUGGUGUUCGGCACGCCGGAUAAUUACAGGUCCGAAGAGGUCACAUUCCAGGUGGCUCCGUUUAGCAGCGGUUAUCACGCUCUGCUAGGGCGGGAAGCGUUUACAAUCUUCCAAGCAAUACCCCAUUACGGGUACAUGAAGCUCAAGAUGCCUGGGCCUAAUGGGAUCAUCACUCUCGCUAGUGAUCCGGACAUAGCACUUCGCGCUGAAAACAAGACAGCCGCACUAGCCCUCGAGGCACUAUCCGAAGCCCUAGCGGCUGAGGAGCUGACUGCGCUGCGCUCUACGGUGAAUAGGGACGAUGUGGUACUCGACAAAAGAUCCAAGUCCACCUCCUUUAAACCGGCGGACGAAAUAGUCAAAUUCCAAGUCCAUCCAACAGACCCUAAUAAAACAACUUCCAUCGGGGCACAGUUAAACCCUGAUGUCGACGCUGCAUUGCGAGAGUUCCUACGAGAGAACUGGGACAUUUUCGCCUGGCACCCUUCAGACAUGCCAGGAAUCCCACGCAGGUUGGCCGAGCACAGCUUAAAUAUCCAAACAGGAUUCAAACCUGUCAAACAGGCUCUUCGGCGUUUUUCCGAACCUAAGAGACAGGCCAUGGGAGAGGAGCUAGCAAAGCUAUUGGAGGCCGGAUUCAUCAGAGAUAUAAAACAUCCGUACUGGCUAGCAAACCUGGUGAUGGUACCAAAGAAGGACAAAUCCUGGCGACUGUGUGUUGAUUUUAAAGACCUUAACAAGGCUUGCCCAAAGGAUCCGUUCCCCCUCCCCCGCAUCGAUCAAAUUAUCGACGCUACCGCAGGACACGAGUCGUUGUGUUUCCUCGACGCAUAUUCUGGCUACCAUCAAAUCAAGAUGGCAGAACCAGACCAAGCCGCAACGGCAUUUAUCACACCAUACGGGCCAUUCUGCUUCAACACGAUGCCCUUCGGGCUCAAAAACACCGGCGCAACAUAUCAGCGCAUGAUCCAGACAUGUCUGGCAAGCCAGAUCGGCAAAAUAGUGGAGGCAUAUGUAGAUGAUGUGGUCGUCAAAACAAGACAUGUUGAAUCUCUAGUAGACGACUUGAGGCUCACAUUUGAUAACCUCCGAACAUACGACAUCAAGCUCAACCCAGAAAAAUGCGUUUUCGGCGUUCUAGCCGGAAAGCUCUUGGGCUUCAUUAUAUCCGGUAGAGGAAUUGAAGCAAAUCCAGCCAAGAUCGGAGCUCUGUCGCAACUGGAUAUCCCAAAGGACCUCAAACAAAUACAAAAAUUAACCGGAUGCGUGGCGGCUCUAAGCCGCUUUAUCUCCCGCUUGGGAGAAAAGGCCCUACCCCUUUACCGCCUCCUUCGGCGCACCGAACACUUCAAAUGGACGGAUGCAGCCACGGCCGGACUCGACGAAAUAAAAGCCAUACUGGCAACAAACCCAGUCAUGGCCGCGCCAAACAUUGGUGAACCAAUGCUAUUAUACAUUGCAGCAACACAUCAGGUUGUAAGCGCAGUGCUCGUCGUCGAACGAGAAGCGGACGGACACAAAUUCCCCCUUCAAAAGCCGGUCUAUUAUGUGUCCACUGUCCUCACUCCCUGCAAAUCAUGGUACCCGCAUUAUCAAAAGAUUGCGUACGCGGUAUUCAUGGCAUCCCGAAAGCUACGACACUACUUUCAAGAGUGUUCAAUAACAGUAGCCUCGGAAGUACCACUUAACGAUAUUAUAAACAACCGUGACGCAAUGGGCCGGGUUGCAAAAUGGGCCAUUGAGCUCCUCCUGUUCGACAUAACUUAUAAGCCACGAUGAGCCAUCAAGUCACAAGUCUUGGCCGACUUCGUCGCAGAAUGGACGGAGGCCGAACUCCCUAAAGAGUACGACACAUAUUCAAAUUGGAUCAUGCAUUUCGACGGCUCCAAGAUGUUGGCCGGACUGGGGGCUGGCGUCGUUUUGACGUCCCCCACAGGAGACAUAGUUCAAUGCAUACUACAGAUUAUGUAGAAGGACUCCAACAAUGCAGCCGAAUAUGAGGCCCUUUUACACGGUCUACGAAUGGCAGUAUCCAUGGGCAUCCAACGCCUAGAGGUGCGCGGGGACUCAAACCUCACAAUAUCCCAAAUAAAUGGAGACUUCGAUGUCAAGGAUCCAAAAAUGGCAGCUUACCGCAACGCCGUCCUAAAAAUGUCAGCUCGGUUCGAGGGGCUUGAAUUUCACCAUAUAGGCCGGGAAAAUAAUCAGACGGCAGAUGUCCUGGCACGCAUCGGCGCAAAACGCGAUGUAGUCCCCCCCAACAUCUUCUUGGAAAGGUUGUUCAAGCCAUCCGUAGCAUGGGAAGGGGAGCCGAACAAUAACAGCCCGGACCCAACCGCACUGCCCGACACCGAACAUUCUGACACAAUCGGAGGCUCUGCCAAUGAAAUAACACCUUCAACCCACAUAAUAAUGGCCCUCAUCGCCCCGUGGACAGAACCAUUCCUCGCCUACCUUACUAGGCAGGAACUCCCCGAGGACCGAAAUGAGGCACGCUGCAUAGUGCGGUGAUCCAAAGCCUACAGAGUCCACGAGGGAGAGCUUUAUAAGAAAAGCACUACCGGAGUCCUUCAAAGGUGCAUCUCCGAAGAGGAGGGGUGGAACCUCCUGGCUGAAAUUCAUGCCGGACUUGGCGGUCAUCACACUGCAGCCCGGUCCCUCAUAAGCAAGGCCUUCCGUACAGGCUUUUAUUGGCCGACGGCCCGGGCAGACGCUCAGGACUUAGUCCAACGAUGCACCGGUUGCCAGCUCUUUGCAAACCAAAGCCAUAUGCCACCCACCGCCCUCCAAACUAUCCCCAUUACUUGGCCCUUCGUGGUCUAGGGGCUUGACAUGGUUGGACCCCUUAAAGGCGGAACCCACAAGCAAAAAUACUUACUGGUCAUGGUGAAUAAGUUCACCAAAUGGAUAGAAGCCAAGCAUGUUAAGACGGCCGAAUCCGGACCGGUGAUAGACUUUAUAUCCGGGGUUGUACACCGUUACGGCGUCCCCCACAGCAUCAUCACUGACAACGGCACGAACUUCAUGACCGACAAGGUAAAACUCUGGUGCAAAAACAUGGGCAUCAAGCUCGAUUAUGCUUCCGUCUAUCACCCACAAACUAACGGUCAGGUCGAACGUGCAAAUGGUCUUAUCAUGAGCGGCAUCAAACCCAGAUUAGUGCGGUCCCUCAAGGAAUCUAACACGCACUGGGUAGAGGAGCUCGACUCCGUAUUCUGGGGGCUGCAGACCACGCCGAAUCGCACCACCGGAUACACACCAUUCUUUAUGGUGUACGGCGUAGAGGCAGUUUUGCCUUGCGACAUCAUUCAUGACUCACCUCGAGUGCGCAUGUACGAAGAAAGAGAAGCCGAGCUCGAUCGGCAGGACAUCUUGGACGCAUUGGAGGAGGAGCAUGACGUGGCAAAAGCCCGUUCCGCAUUCUAUCAACAGCAGGCUCGAAGAUACCAAAGCAGAGAAGUAUGGGCCAAAAAUUACAACGUUGGCGAAUUAGUUCUACGACUACCGGGUAAGAAAAAGGACAAACUCAAGCCCAAGUGGGAAGGUCCCUUCAUAAUUGACCAAAUCCUGACUAGUGGAGUGUACCGCCUGCGGGAUGCAUCGGAUAACCGACUUGAGCCAAACCCAUGGAACACAGCCCGUCUCCGAAGAUUCUAUGCCUAGCGUCGGACUCUGUGUUCGUCUCCUUCCUCUGUCCAUUUUUUAUAUUUUCUGUCUUACAUUUCUCUUCUCUCUCUCUCUCUCUCUCUCUCUCUCUCUCUCUUAUAGCCUCUAAAGGCUCAUAAAGUGACGCGCUAUCCGCGCUCAUUAAACCUGGGGGCUUCUUUAAACAGAAGCUUAUUCAUGCGGGCUUCAUGCCCAACACAUGUGUCACACUUUCGCAUGUACCUUUUAUUCACCAUUAUAUGCAUCGAUAUGACUUAAGUUUUGGCCAAGCUGGGUUGCCUGGCUCCUGUGCUUACCCCUACGUUCCCGAUUGUCCGGCUAGGUGGUAAAGGGAGCACCUCUGCGAUUGUUACUGCCAGGUCAGCCGGACGUGUACCUCAGACUGGGUGAAGCCGAAAGCUAGCAUUCUUAAGGGAAUAUUCGGUCGAUGAACUAAAGAUGAUCUUUUUUUAUCUAUACGCCCCCAGAUGUUUUUCCUGCGUUUCUUUUCGCAGCAUGGACAUGGACCUUAGGGCAUGCCUCCCAGGGAAAGGAACCCCUAACGGAACUAUUCUCCCUGGAAGAUGUUUCUUACUAACCAUGUAAUAUAACAUACCUAGUCGGGCACUUGUCUGUUCACGCCCUAAUGACCCCUACGCCUGGUCUCCAUGCAUUCCCCGGUUCCUAUAUAACCGCAUGGGAAUUCGGACACACUCUGGACCGUCAGGUCCCGAGGCUGAAGCGAAAAGGUCGGCCAUGACAAAUGAUCUACAAUCCGGCUAGAAGGCAUUAUAAAUGUCAAUUAAAUUACAUAGUCAUUUUGACUAGUUGUAUUCCUCUUCAAUACCAUCUAACAGGCUAUCUAAUUUACAGUCCUGCUGGGAAUACUUUGCGGCCAACUCUACUUGGCCGUAUACUAAGCUUACAGGGAUCUCCUUCCCAUCGGGUCCUACAGGACCGACCUCAGCCAUGUGGUUGGGGUUAGCCUUUGCGUACCGCGUCUUCACCAUGGCCCAGGCCUCCCUAGCGCCUUGACGGCAGGCUGAUAUUUUCCACAAUUGGAAGCGCCGCCGUGCUCCCUUUAGCUUCUCCGCAAGCUCUCCAAGACCUUCGGGCAUGGAGACGGAUGGCCACAGGGCCUGGGCGACGCCUCGCAUCGCCUGCCGAACUCGAUCGAGCAGUUGCGAGAGCUCGGGAAGAAGGUCACCCGUAGAACCGGGCAUCUCCUUUGCAGGAUGACCUAUUAGCACACCUACAGACAUUGCUCUGUUAGUCGACUUCCCCGCCGAACUUUCUUUCAAAAGGUUUGUUCAAGCACUUACUAAAUAUGCUGCGCCGAAGCCGCUGAUUCUCCUUCACAGAGUCUGACAGCUGGGCACGAACAUCUUUCAGCUCGACGCCCAGCCUGGUGUUGGCAUGUGACGCCCCGAGACCGAUGUGCCAGGUGUCUUCCAGUUAUUCGUUGUUGUUGCCGUGUCAUUCGAUUGCGUGUUGCAUCUUGCCAUGUCAUCAUGUGCAUUGCAUCAUCAUGUUUUAAAAAAACUUGCAUUCGUCCGGGUUCUCCGAGUUCUCUCUGUUGUCCGUUCUGAGCCCAACCACACUUGCACAUGCCCGCAACAUGUCCGAAAUAUUAUUUUAUAAGUGGCUAGAAAAUGUUCUCGGAAUGGGUUGAAAGUUGGCAUGCGGUGUUGUUUUGUUGUCAGUAGACCUCCUGCCAAGUUUCAUCGCAUUCGGAGUCUGUUUGACGCCCCAACGGAUAAAUAUAGCAGCAAUAGUAGCCGGUCUAACGUCGGACGUUUUUGGUGUCCGGAAACAGUCGCCGGGCCUCCCUCUCUUCUCUUCUCUCAGCUCGAGACCGUCUACAUAGCCCACCUAGUCCAUCCUCCUUCCUCUCUUCGCUUCCGUAGUUGUCGGAUGCGAUCACACGAUCCGAAAACCCCUCUCUGCUCAGUUCUUAGACCCCUCGCGCGUCCGAAAAGCUUCCCCGAACCCGAACCGGACUUUCGUCACCGUUGGAUCCGGAACAUCCCCAAACAUCUACCAAAUAUCUCCAUUUUCUUAAUUGGGCCCCCUAACCUAUUUAUCCGAGACCGUCCGAUUUUAAUCGAGGGCCCAGAUGCACCCCAAAUCCACUUGCUAUAUAUACUUGAGGUCCAACCCAAAAAAUUAGGAGGUUUGUCCCAUCCAUUCCCUUGGCCGCCGCCGCAUCCUCCUUGUUUUCCUCAGCCACCAACCAGAUCCCUCCUCUGUUUCCGUGCCUGUCCAACCCCGAUCCUCCUCCCGAUCCCCAUGAAUUCUUCUUCCUCGCCUUCGUGCUCCCGGAGAUAGUCAGCACUCGCAGGCCCUCGCGUUCGCGCGCCCGCAAAGCAGUAGCAGUAGUCGAGCGCCCCGUUCCCCUUCCUGCACCUCGAUCCAGAACGCCGCCGGCGGCAUCUACCACCACGCUGCCGCCGCUGGACCAGCAGGUCCCCUGCCUCAUUGUCCGGCUGACGCCGGCGAUUGGAACCCCGCCGAAGAUGAGCAGCAGCCGCCCUGUAUCCUCUCCUCCCGCCUUUGUUUCUCCCUCUCCUUCCCCCCUCAUGUUCUCUCUCUCUUCUGCAGGCUCCAGCCGCCGCCAUGGGGCGUCGCCUCCCCGAGCUCCGUCCAUCGCCGGGAAUGGGAUCCCCGGGGCCGGAUCCGCCCAGCUCCAGCAUGGAUCCGUCGUCCCCUGACCUCCGCUCGCUCCGGUCGCCGUUCGUCCGAGUCCGGCGAGCUCCUGUCGCGUCGCCUUCAUCUCUGCUUCGCCGCUGCAACCACCAUGGCGCUCGUACUCGUGCAGCUUCGGGGCCAGCGCCGCUGCCUAGAGUUUCUCCGCCCGGAGUCCCCUUCGUCUCGUCCGCGUUGCUGGUGCCCCGCCAAGUCCUUCAAGCCGCCGCCAAGUUUGCUCUCGUAGCUCUCCUGCAUCGCCGCUGAACCUGCCACUGCUUCGCUCGAACAGGGAGGAGAACACGCCUUCCUCUCCUGGCUCGGUUCGCCCGCAUUGACUCCCUCCAUUUUGACCAAGCCAGCCCAUUGUUUCUUUCCCAGCAAGGCCCGACUCCAGCGUCGUCGUGGGCCGUGUGAGCCAAGGUCUAGCCCAGCCGCUGCUAGAUCCAAGCCCAGCACCACCAAGGCCGGCCUACCUCUCCAGAUCUGGGCUAUGGCCCAUGGUGAGACCCCCAUCGCCUCUGCUCCGGUUGGCCCAGGCAGAUUCGGCCCAUAUCAUGUUUUUUGUCCGUUCUGUGUUUUUAGUAUUUAAUUUUCAGAGACGCCAGUUUUGCAGUUUAGCCCCUAAAAAUCAUGCAUAUUUUAACUCACAAACCGUGCAUCAUAUAUAAAAACUUUAUAUAUGAAAUAUGCUUAGAAUUUUGUCUAGUUUCAUAAUAUGCAACUUUCACCCAUGUUUAAAAUGCUUAAAAUGUUGUUUGACUAAAUUUUGCUCCUAUGCCAUGUUAAAAAUGAUUUAAUUCAUAACUAAAUAACCGUAACUCGGAAUUUAAUAAUCUUUAUAUGUAAAUAGGGUAGAAAAAUGCCUAGUUUAACAUGGUGGCUUUACUUUGCAUGUUUAAUAACUCUAAAAUUGUGUUUAGGGCAGAUCAGUACCAAACCAAUAUAUGCAUAUGGGGAUUUACCGAAAUUGUUGUUCGUUGCUUCCGGCCUCAUUUAAACUUGACUAGAUAGGUAGUUUUAUUUUGCUUCACCCUCUUGCCAUGUUUAACAACAUUUAAUAUUGUUGGGUACAUAAACGAGAUCGAACCUAAACAAGUCAUGUGGUGUUUCGUCAAUAUGCAACGGAGUUGCAUAUUGAGCUCCACUUAAUUUGUAGGAUUGCUUGUGCACUUUGCCAUGCCAUGCCCUCUUUAAACCGGACAUGCAUCAUACUUGUUUGCGCAUCAUGCCAUGUCUAUGUGGUGGUUGUUUACUAGGUUGUUUGCUCUUUUCCGGUGUUGCUUCUUCGGGUUGGUUCCGAUAACGUCGCGUUUGUGAGGAACCGUUCGACUACGUCCGUUUGUCUUCUUCUUGGACUCGUCCUUCUUCCUUGCAGGAUCUCAGGCAAGAUAACCAUACCCUCGAAAUCACUUCUAUCUUUGCUUGCUAGUUUGCUCGCUCUUUUGCUAUGCCUAUGCUACGAUACCUACCACUUGCUGAUCAUGCCUCCCAUAUUGUUGUACCAAGCCUCUAACCCACCUUGUCCUAGCAAAUCAUUGUUUGGCUAUGUUACCGCUUUGCUCAGCCCCUCUUAUAGCGUUGUUAGUUGCAGGUGAAGAUUGAAGUUUGUUCCUUGUUGGAACAUGGAGAUGUUGUUCCUUGUUGGAACAUAUUUACUUGUUGGGAUAUCACAAUAUCUCUUAUUUAAUUAAUGCAUCUAUAUACUUGGUAAAGGGUGGAAGGCUUGGCCCUAUUCCUGGUGUUUUGUUCCACUCUUGCCGCCCUAGUUUCCGUCAUAUCAGUGUUAUGUUCCCGGAUUUUGUGUUCCUUGCGCGGUUGGGCUAUUAUGGGAACCCCUUGACAGUUCGCCUUGAAUAAAACUCCUCCAGCAAUGCCCAACAUUGGUUUUACCAUUUGCCACCUAGCCUUUUCUUUUACCUUGGGAGUCGUGCUCUUGAGGGUCAUCUUAUUUAAACCCCCCUGGGCCAGUGCUCCUUUGAGUGUUGGUCCGACCGAGCUGCCUGCGGGGCCACCACAGGGAAACUUGAGGUUUGGUUUUACUCGUAGCUAGUCUCAUCUGAGUGUGCCCUGAGAACGAGAUAUGUGCGGCUCCUAUCGGGAUUUGUCGGCACAUUCGGGCAGUGUUGCUGGACUUGUUUUAUCUUUGUCGAAGUUGUCUUGUAGAACCGGGAUGCCGAGUCUGAUCGGAAUGUCUCGGGAGAAGGUUUAUCCUUCGUUGACCGUGAGAGCUUGUGAUGGGCUAAGUUGGGACACCCCUGCAGGGACUUGAACUUUUGAAAGCUGUGCCCGCGGUUAUGGGCAGAUGGGAAUUUGUUAACGUCCGGUUGUAGAAAACUUGAAGUUGACCUUAAUUAAAAUGCAUCAACCGCGUGUGUAACCGUGAUGGUCUCUUUCCGGUGGAGUCUGUGAAGUGAACAUGGUGUUGGAGUUAUGUUUGACGUAGGUUGUUCUAGGAUCACGUCUUGAUCAUAGAUUCUCGACCGUGCUUUUGCCUUCUCUUCUCGCUCUCAUUUGCAUAUGUUAGCCACCAUAUAUGCUAGUCACUUGCUGCAGCUCCACCUCAUACCUUUACCUUACCCAUAAGCUUAAAUAGUCUUGAUCGUGAGGGUGUGAGAUUGCUGAGUCCCUGUGGCUCACAGAUACUUCCAACACCAGUUUGCAGGUGCCGAUGAGUCCGUGCAGAUGACGCAACCAAGCUCAGGAGGAGCCCGAUGAAGAUCUUGUCCUUUGUGUUGGUUCGUUCUAGUUGAUCAGAAGUGGUGCCCAGUUGGGGUCGAUCGGGGACCGUGUCGCAUUUGGGGUUCUUCUUUUAUUUUGGCUCCGUAGUCAGGCCCUGAUUGUAUUUGGAUGAUGUAAUGCUUUAUUCAUGUAUUUGUGUGAAGUGGCGAUUGUAAGCCAACUAUGUAUCUUUUCCCCUAUUGUAUUACAUGGGUUGUUUGCGAAGAUUACCUCACUUGCGACAUUGCUUUCAAUGCGGUUAUGCCUCUAAGUCGUGCUUCGACACGUGGGAGAUAUAGCCGCAUCGAGGGCGUUACAAGUUGGUAAUCAGAGCCUUCCCCGACCUUAGGAGCCCCCAUUGCUUGAUCGAAUUAGCUGCCGUUGUUGAGUCUAGAAAAAUGUUUUGAGUCAUUUAGGAAUUAUAUAUCGGAGAGUUUAGGAAUUCUUUUUACUCCCCAGUCCCUUCAUCACUCUGGUAAGGCAUCCUGACGUAGAGUUUUGACUCUUCUCUUCUCAAAUUUCACUAAAAAAAUUUAGGAUCUCGCGGGUAUCUUGGAAUCGUUCCGAUCGAUUUGUGACGAGAACAUUGUUCUUGGUGCCUCCUGUCAUUUAGGGGUUGUGGCAGUGUCCCAAGGAGUUGAGCUCCGAGGUGUUGUUGUCACAAUUUUAUCGUUGCAGUUCUGGAAUACCUGAGUUUAGUUUGCCGACAUCGAAAAUCUCUUUUAUGCAGUUGUUGGUGAGAUAACCUCGACGCCACCCAGUACUGGGGCGGGAGUUCGGGAGUAUUGCCAUAACUCGUAUAACGGAUGCUUUUCGAAGGUUGAGGUAGAUGAUUUCCGAAGGGUUCUUGGUUAUGUGUUGAAGGAUGGAUACAGUUGGAUGUAGGAUUUGCUAGUUUUGGGUGAGAUAUUAUGCUUCCCCUGUAUCCCCAACACCUGAUUGCAUAACUGGGAAAAUUUCGGAAGUUUAUAAGUGGGAAUUCAAGUAGCUCUUAGGAUAUCUUUCUGACAGAUGUAUGAUAUGAAAUUGGGGUUCGACGUAUAGUGGUCCGCCUAUCCACGGUUGGUUUUAUAGUAGUCUCGUUGUGUCUUAAAGAGUCCUUGGCUAUGCCGACUCGGGGACGCUUCGUAUGUCAUGUGCACUGCCUUGUACAUGAUGGUGUUGUACGAUCGAGCCCGUGUAGGCCCCACCACGAAAACUUCGGACGAAAUCUCUAUCAUAUGUUUGUUCCGGCUUAUUCUGCAAGCCAAUCUUUUGUUUUGCUUUGAGUUGUGGUAUUCGAGUUGCUUCGAAGUCAAAUGUUGAUUCCAUACUUUUUCCUAAGUGGUGUUCUCAUACCCCGAUGUGAACACUAAUACUUCUCGAUCAUCGAGUUGUCAUGCCAAUCCUUUUUAACCGGUGUGCUUCUCUUCAAGUGGAUCCGACCAUUGCAACAUUCGCAAGAUUCAAUCCCAGUUCUUCUCAACGGUGUUUGUUUCAUCCGUCUCCAAGUUGCCUUUGUUUUUCCCACCCUCCCUCCCUUGUUUCCUUCAAGGACUCAGAAUUCUUAAUCACUUAUCUUGUUAUUCAUCUGAAGUCUCUUCUUUCUUUUCUUUCAAUGUUCUUACCCGGUGUUUCUCAUGAAGAUUUUAACGGAGCUUCAAGUUCAUCAUUCUUCGUUCCUUUUUCUCCUCCGGUGGAUUCAAUUCAAGCUUUUGGUGCUUAUUUACCCUUUUCCUCAUUUCUAUGCCUUUUCGUGCCGGUGGACCUCUUAAUCAUCCAUUUCUCGCCAUUCAAUGAUUCCGGAGUGCUAAAGAUAUCUUAGAAAGAUCUUCUUGUCUUUCAAGAUCAGUUCAACCUAUUUCGAGGUUGUUAUCUCAUUCUAGCCAUUUAAAUCUUAUUCGGUGCAUUCUCUCUUUUAAAUCAUUCUACGGUGUUUCUUUUGAGUGGGCCCUAACCCACAGGUCUUUUCCAGGAUCUUACCUAACUCUUCUAAUUCUACCGGAGCUAUUCAAAAAAAAAUAUUUUCGAAGUUUGACGUAAGAAUGAUUUAUUAUCAGUCAAAUGCCUUCUCCUAGAUCUUUCACAAUUCUUUUCAUCGUUUGGUUCAACCUUUCCAAUUUUAAUCCCGGAGAUCUCAACAAUUUGGUGGUGUUUCUCAUCGUCAUUCUCAGAUAUUGAAGAUCGAAGAAGAGUUUCUCUUCAAUCUUAUCCAUUAUCUCGAAGAUUCAUGGUGCUAACCUUAUGCCGUCCUCUCAUAAUUGUUUUUCGGUCGUGAUAAUUCUUUUCACCUAUCCGGAGCAAUUCAAGAUUCGGUUCAGUUUGUUUAUCCGGACCCAUCACCUAAGAAUUUUUUUUUCAUUCCAGCCUUCAGGCUCUCAUACUCUAAAUCUUACCGGUGCAUCAUUCAAAUUUCUCUAAUCACCUCGGGAUCUCUUCGUUCACUUGAAUCUAAAUUCUCUCAAGUAUCUUCAUCCAUUUCAUAAUUAUUCCCGGUGUUCCUUUAUUUUUCCUUCGGUCAUUUUAAUUCUUACGGUGGUUCGUGCAAGAGUUCUCUUCAUUCGUUUUCAUAUCAAUUCAUUCGUUGUUUCAAUCCUACCGGUGGUUCAUCAAAGACCUUCCCAAGUUUGCGCCAUAUCAAUCUUAAUCUUCCUACGAGAAUAGGUAGUAUGCCAAAUCCGUUGCUUGUCAUCAAUUUAAUUGGUGAAGGAUAAGCAUAAUGCAGUUCUUAUUCUUGUUUCUUCCAAGUGGUUCAAUUUCUUAUUCCGGAGGUGCAUCAUAUCACAUUCUUGGUUCGAGAUGUUUUAUCUUUUCUUCUCCCGGAGUUCCUAGCUCUCGCAAUUACAUCACCAUGGAGAUUCUUUUAAAUCAUUGCAAGGCUUCAACCUUAUUCUUUUCAUCCUCCAUUUCGAUUGAUCAUUUCUUUGACUACCGGAGUUCUUCAUGAAGGUUCUACAUGAUGGUUCACCAAUGAUUUAAUUCCUUCUCGAAGUGUUCAUCAAGAUUUUUUUAGAGGAGCUCAAGUUUUCUUCAUCUUGCAAUCCGGAGUGCAAUUCUUUCACGCAUAUCUUUUGAGGUGGUGUUAUGUCAUUCUUGAUAAUUUCCCUUCGUGCUUCAUGUUUCACAAGUUAUCAAGAUGAGGUAUUUUAAAUCCACCAAUCUCGUCAUUGGAGUUACCUUGGGUUAUAUUUCACCUAAAAUCUUCUCUAAGGAUUGUUGCUAUUAUGGUGCUUAUAAAUGACCCAAGUUCUUUUAUCCUCCCGGUGAAAUAGUUUCUCUCCUCCUUAUUCAUAUCAAUUCAAAAUCCAUUGUUUCCGUUAGUGGCGUAAUUUCACCUCAUAGUUAUGAGAUGUUUUCCAUAAGCCCACAACAAGCUUAUCCUUUUCGUUGUUGGUUUUCCAAAAACUCCGUUCAGCCCUUCCCCUAAAGAUGCCUCUUCAAGCUCUUUUGUGGCAGAAGUUGGCAUUUUCUUCUCAAUUCUCCUAUGGCAAUUAUCUAUCUUCUAUUCUUCCAUCCGGAGGCAUUGUGAUGUUGCUCUCCUCAACCCAUCUUCUCGGAUUGUCAGGACCAUGUUUUGAUCGUGCUUAUCCUUUUAACCGGAGUAUUGUGUCCCUUUGCUCAAGCUCUUUCAUUCUAUCAAGUUUUUCAUCUCUUUUAAACCGGAGUGUUAUCGUAAUUGAUCCUUAUCGUUCCUUGUACAUCUCGUUUCUACCAGAGUGCUUGGAUGUACUUCUUCUCCAUUCCAAAACUUUUCUCAUGUCUUUCAACCUACAGGGUUCUCGUGAGGCUCCUUGCUCCUCAUUUCUAACGAAGUUUUCAACUUUAUUCAUCUUCGUUGUAUUCUUUCUUUCAAAUUUGCUCAACCUCGCAAGGUUCAUGGUUUCACUCGUUUGUCAAAGAAGCAACUUAGUUUUACCUCUUCUCUUUCUCUUCCGUUUUUCCCUCCGGUGCCAUUCUAGAUCUCGGGACGAGAUCCUCUCAUAGUGGUGGAGUGUUGUGACGCCCCGAGACCGAUGUGCCAGGUGUCUUCCAGUUAUUCGUUGUUGUUGCCGUGUCAUUCGAUUGCGUGUUGCAUCUUGCCAUGUCAUCAUAUGCAUUGCAUCAUCAUGUUUUAAAAAAAACUUGCAUUCGUCCGGGUUCUCUGAGUUCUCUCUGUUGUCUGUUCUGAGCCCAACCACACUUGCACACGCCCGUGACAUGUCUAAAAUAUUAUUUUAUAAGUGGCCGAAAAAUGUUCUCGGAAUGGGUUGAAAGUUGGCAUGCGGUGUUGUUUUGUUGUCAGUAGACCGCCUGCCAAGUUUCAUCGCAUUCGGAGUCUGUUUGAUGCCCCAACGGAUAAAUAUAGCGGCAAUAGUAGCCGGUCUAACGUCGGACGUUUUCGGUCUCCGGAAACAGUCGCCGGGCCUCCCUCUCUUCUCCUCUCUCAGCUCGAGACCGUCUACACAGCCCACCUAGUCCAUCCUCCUUCCCCUCUUCGCUUCCGGAGUUGUCCGAUGCGAUCGCACGGUCCGAAAACCCCUCUCUGCUCAGUUCUUAGACCCCUCGCGCGUCCGAAAAGCUUCCCCGAACCCGAACCGGACUUUCGUCACCGUUGGACCCGGAACAUCCCCAAACAUCUACCAAAUAUCUCCAUUUUCUUAAUUGGGCCCCCUAACCUAUUUAUCCGAGACCGUCCGAUUUUAAUCGAGGGCCCAGAUGCACCCCAAAUCCACUUGCUAUAUAUACUUGAGGUCCAACCCAAAAAAUUAGGAGGUUUGUCCCAUCCAUUCCCUCGGCCGCCGCCGCAUCCUCCUCGUUUUCCUCAGCCACCAACCAGAUCCCUCCUCUGUUUCCGUGCCUGUCCAACCCCGCUCCUCCUCCCGAUCCCCAUGAAUCCUUCUUCCUCGCCUUCGUGCUCCCGGAGACAGUCAGCACUCGCAGGCCCUCGCGUUCGCGCGCCCGCAAAGUAGCAGCAGCAGUCGAGCGCCCCAUUCCCCUUCCUGCACCUCGAUCCAGAACGCUGACGGCGGCAUCUACCACCACGCCGCCGCCGCUGGACCAGCAGGUCCCCUGCCUCAUUGUCCGGCCAACGCCGGCGAUUGGAACCCCGCCGAAGAUGAGCAGCAGCCGCCCUGUAUCCUCUCCUCCCGCCUUUGUUUCUCCCUCUCCUUCCCCCCUCAUGUUCUCUCUCUCUUCUGCAGGCUCCAGCCGCCGCCAUGGGGCGUCGCCUCCCCGAGCUUCGUCCAUCGCCGGGAAUGGGAUCCCCGGGGCCGGAUCCGCCCAGCUCCAGCAUGGAUCCGUCGUCCCCUGACCACCGCUCGCUCCGGUCGCCGUUCGUCCGAGUCCGGCGAGCUCCUGCCGCGUCGCCUUCAUCUCUGCUUCGCCGUUGCAACCACCAUGGCGCUCGUACUCGUGCAGCUUCGGGGCCAGCGCCGCCGCCUAGAGUUUCUCCGCCCGGAGUCCCCUUCGUCUCGUCCGUGUUGCUGGUGCCCCGCCAAGUCCUUCAAGCCGCCGCCAAGUUUGCUCUCGUAGCUCUCCUGCAUCGCCGCUGAACCUGCCACUGCUUCGCUCGAACAGGGAGGAGAACACGCCUUCCUCUCCUGGCUCGGUUCGCCCGCAUUGACUCCCUCCAUUUUGACCGAGCCGGCCCACUGUUUCUUUCCCAGCAAGGCCCGACUCCAGCAUCGUCGUGGGCCGUGUGAGCCAAGGUCUAGCCCAGCCGCUGCUAGAUCCAAGCCCAGCACCACCAAGGCCGGCCUACCUCUCCAGAUCUGGGCUAUGGCCCAUGGUGAGACCCCCAUCGCCUCUGCUCCGGUUGGCCCAGCCAGAUUCGGCCCAUAUCAUGUUUUUUUUCCGUUCUGUGUUUUUAGUAUUUAAUUUUCAGAGACGCCAGUUUUGCAGUUUAGCCCCUAAAAAUCAUGCAUAUUUUAACUCACAAACCAUGCAUCAUAUAUAAAAACUUUAUAUAUGAAAUAUGCUUAGAAUUUUGUCUAGUUUCAUAAUAUGCAACUUUCACCCAUGUUUAAAAUGCUUAAAAUGUUGUUUGACUAAAUUUUGCUCCUAUGCCAUGUUAAAAAUGAUUUAAUUCAUAACUAAAUAACCGUAACUCGGAAAUUAAUAAUCUUUAUAUGUAAAUGGGGUAGAAAAUGCCUAGUUUAACAUGGUGGCUUUACUUUGCAUGUUUAAUAACUCUAAAAUUGUGUUUAGGGCAGAUCAGUACCAAACCAAUACAUGCAUAUGGGGAUUUACCGGAAUUGUUGUUCGUUGCUUCCGGCCUCAUUUAAACUUGACUAGAUAGGUAGUUUUAUUUUGCUUCACCCUCUUGCCAUGUUUAACAACAUUUAAUAUUGUUGGGUACAUAAACGAGAUCGAACCUAAACAAGUCAUGUGGUGUUUCGUCAAUAUGCAACGGAGUUGCAUAUUGAGCUCCACUUAAUUUGUAGGAUUGCUUGUGCACUUUGCCAUGCCAUGCCCUCUUUAAACCGGUCAUGCAUCAUACUUUUUUGCGCAUCAUGACAUGUCUAUGUGGUGGUUGUUUACUAGGUUGUUUUCUCUUUUCCGGUGUUGCUUCUUCGGGUUGGUUCCGAUAAUGUCGCGUUUGUGAGGAACCGUUCGACUAUGUCCGUUUGUCUUCUUCUUGGACUCGUUCUUCUUCCUUGCGGGAUCUCAGGCAAGAUGACCAUACCCUCGAAAUCACUUCUAUCUUUGCUUGCUAGUUUGCUCGCUCUUUUGCUAUGCCUAUGCUACGAUACCUACCACUUGCUUAUCAUGCCUCCCAUAUUGUUGUACCAAGCCUCUAACCCACCUUGUCCUAGCAAACCAUUGUUUGGCUAUGUUACCGCUUUGCUCAGCCCCUCUUAUAGCGUUGUUAGUUGCAGGUGAAGAUUGAAGUUUGUUCCUUCACUACAGGAAUCCAGUACUUUGCCGUUUGCCAUGGCGAACGGCAAAGGCAGGGACGGCUGACGGCAAAGCACUUUGCCGUCCGCGGCGGACGGCAAACAGUGACGGCAAAGAUAGGAUCGGCAAACAGGUCCUUUGCCGUCUGCUUUUUAUGGCGGAUGGCAAAGAGCCCUUUGCCUACAGCGGCUGACGGCAAAGUGGGGGGAUGGUAAAAUGUUGCACAUCCGCCAGCGUUACUCCAUUAGGCGGCUAACGGCGGCCUUUGCCGUCCGCCAGUGGAUGGCAAAUUUGAGCGCCUCUUUGCCGUCCGCUAGACGACGUCAACUAUACGUCAGCGCCCGCUCUUUUUUGCCGUCCGCCCGGCGGACGGCAAAGUCAAAGUCUUUGCCAUCAGCUUGGCUUUGCCGUCCGCCACGGUAGGCAAAUUGGCCAAAUGGUCCAUCCCCAGGAAGCACAGGUGGGCGCCACGUGCCCCCUUUGCCGUCUGCCACCAAGGACAAAGGGGUCUUUGCCGUCUGCCGCGGACGGCAAAGAGCCUGCACUGCCUCUUUUUUGUUCUAUUUUUCUUAUAUCCAACAAUUAUCACAACAAAUAUGUCACAGCACAUAUAUAUCCAUCACAUAAAUAUCCAGCACAUAUAUAUCCAACAUAAUAAAUAUCCAGCACAUAUAUAUCCAUCCAUACAUACAUAGUAGGUUGCACAUAGUUCCAUCGAUCCAUACAUAUUACAAUAUGCAAAGUUUCAUCAUAGCAAGUGAGUAGAAUACAAGAAGUGCAUCAAAGGAAAAAACAGGAAAAAGCAAGCAAUCCAUCAUAGGAAGCUGGCUUCCGUGAAGUGAAUGAAACCUGCAAAAUGACAAAUAAGAAAGUUAGAAAAAGAAGACUAGAAGAAGAAUUAUACUAGAAGAAAAAGAAUAGAAGAAGAAGACUAGAAGAAGAAGUAUAUGCCAUAUAUUAGCUAACUUAGGUGAAAUGUAUCGUUUAUGAGCUAACCUAGGUGAAAUGGGUAGUUUAUGAGCUACCCUAGGUGAAAUGGAUCCUUUUGGAGCUAAGUUAGGUGAAAUGGGUCGUUUAUGAGCAAACCUAGGUGAAAUGGGUCGUUUAUGAGCAAACCUAGGUGAAAUGAGUCGUUUAUGAGCAAACCUAGGUGAAAUGGGUCGUUUAUGAGCAAACCUAGGUGAAAUGAGUCGUUUAUGAGCAAACCUAGNNNNNNNNNNNNNNNNNNNNNNNNNNNNNNNNNNNNNNNNNNNNNNNNNNNNNNNNNNNNNNNNNNNNNNNNNNNNNNNNNNNNNNNNNNNNNNNNNNNNNNNNNNNNNNNNNNNNNNNNNNNNNNNNNNNNNNNNNNNNNNNNNNNNNNNNNNAGCUAACCUAGGUGAAAUGGGUAGUUUAUGAGCUAUCCUAGGUGAAAUGGAUCAUUUUGGAGCUAAGUUAGGUGAAAUGGGUCGUUUAUGAGCUAACCUAGGUGAAAUGGGUCAUUUAUGGGCUAACCUAGGUGAAAUGGGUCGUUUAUGAGCUAACCUAGGUGAAAUAGGUUGUUUAUGAGCUAACCUAGGUGAAAUGGGUCAUUUAUGAGCUAACCUAGGUCAAAUGGGUCGUUUAUGAGGUAACCUAGGUGAAAUGGGUCGUUUAUGAGCUAACCUAGGUGAAAUUGAUCAUUUUGGAGCUAACUUAGUUGAAAUGGGUCGUUUAUGAGCUAACUAAGGUGAAAUGCCAUGUUUUUGAGCUAACUAAGGUAAAACGGAUCGUUUUUGAGCUAAGUUAGGUGAAAUGGGUCAUUUUGGAGCUAACUUAGGUGAAAUAGGUCAUUUUGGAGCUAACCUAGGUGAAAUGGGUCAGUUUAAAGCUAACGUAGGUAAAAUGGAUCAUUUAGGAGUUAAUCUACGUAAAAUGGGUCAUUUUAGAGCUAACUUGGAUAAAUUGGAUCACUUGUAAGCUAACUAAGGUAAAAUGAGUCAUUUUAGAGCUAACAUAGGUAGAAUGGAUGGUUUAUGAGGUCAGUAAGCUUAUUAAGUCAUUUUGGAGGAAAAGAAGCUAACUCUAGGUCAUUAUGGUAAGCAUAUUGGAGGAAAUAAAGCUAAGUCUAGGUCUUUAUGCAUUUGUUAAGCAAAACACUAGAGAAACUUACUGUGAUCACAGAGGUGUAGGAGCGGGCUGGCUCGCGCCGGUAGCUGGAGAAGGAUCGUGCGAUGCGUUUCUGGAGUUAAGCUGCACCAAAGAUCAUUUCCAAUGUCUCGUUAGCAUUAUGACACUCAAAUGUUAAGACUAGCAAGUAAUGUCCAUUCAAAUUAAACUCACCGUGCUCCCAGGAGCAAUCACUGGCAUCGGCGGAGCGGUCUGACCGGACUUCUCGCACACAGGCUGCACAUUUGGUUUUCACAACAGAGUCAUACUAGUUAGUAAUGAGACUCAAAUGUUAAGACUAGCAAGUAAUCUGCAGAAGAAACUUACCACAAGGAGCUCGUACAUGGCCCUUGCCUGCAUGUCAUUCCGUGCCCUCUCCUGCUCCAACAUCUCUGUCGUCUUCUCCUCCAACUCCCGCUGCCUCUCCACCGCCUCCGCCAGAAGUUUCUCCGUUCUAUCUCUCUCACUCUGUAUAGCAGCCUGCAACACCACUCACAUGACCAUUUGUAAUCAUUGAUUGAAGCGCACACAAUGUAAUGGAGAAAGAUAGCUGAGUACGUAUAACUAACCUUGAAGGCGAGUUGGACUGGCCGUUCACGAGGCCUUAUCUCAGGAGGCGGAGCUCGACUGGCGCGCCUUGAUCUCCAAGAUUGAACCAUGCCUUUGGCUUCGUCCAGUUCUGCUUUCCUUUCGGUUCUUUCAUGUUUUGUAACGGCCUAUCACAUAGCGCCUCUAGAUCGACUCUAGCCUUAGUAUUAUCCUUUGACUUCCCAUCUAUGCCGAACAAUAUACCAAAAAGUGCCUCGGCGAUAUUCUUCACAGUGUGCAUCACGUCGAUGUUGUGUGGGCAAAGGAGGUCUUUGAAGUAAGGCAGAUCCCAUAAGCAUGUUUUGUGAGUCCACGCGUGCUUAGUAUUAUACCCCUUGAAGUACCCUGGACGUUGUGGAUCUGGCUCGAGAGCGUUUAACUGAUCCAGGGUCUGUUGGCCUGUCAAUGCAGGUGGUGCAGAGUUUUUGACAACUCUACCCCUGAUGAAGUUCUUCUUGUCUUUCCUGAACUUAUGGCGAGGAUCCAGGAACUGUCUAUGCAUGUCGAAGCAAGAAAACUUGCGACCGGCCUGAAGCCAACGAAACUCAAGAGCUCCCUUGCAUGUGGGGCACGGGAACCUUCCAUGCACACACCAGCCAACGAAUAGCGCAUACGCCGGCAAGUCAUGCGUCGAGUACAUGUACCAGACACGCAUUAUGAAGUUCCAUUUGCUAAAGGGGUCGUAUGUCUUGAACCCAUUAUCCCAGGCUUCUUGCAAUUCGUCCUUAAGCGGCUGCAUGUACACAUUCAUAUUUUUCCCUGGAUAGUUGGGUCCUGGAAUUAUCAACGUCAGGAAAAUGUUCUUUCUUUGCAUAAUCUGUCCGGGGGGAGAUUGAGUUGAAAGACAAAUACGGGCCAACAACUGUAUUGGGCUGCCGUCAUACCAAACACACCGAACCCAUCCGUGCUGAUGCCGACUUGAGGAUGCCUCGGAUCUGCCGCUUUGUCAGCAUGUAAUUCAUCAAACUUUUUCCACGCAACACCAUCCGAUAUGUGUACCAUCAUCAGAUUCCCAUCUGCAUCUAGUUCGGUUCUUUUGCCUGUUUUGUGCCAUGUCAUCUGUCUGGCCGUCUCUUCGACCAUGAAAAGACGUUGAAGUCUUGGUGCGAUUGGCAUAUACCGAAGAACACUAACGGGGAUUUUGGUCUGUGUCUUCUCACCCAUACCGUUGUCUACCACAAUAUACCUGGAAGACUUGCAAAUGGGACAAUAGUUCAAGUCCGCGUAGUCAAGCCUAAAUAAGGCACAUCCUUUCUCACAGGCAUGUAUCUUCUCAUAGGGCAUCUUCAGUGCAUGGAGGAUUUUGUCCGACUGGUACAGGUUUGCAGGCAUUACAUGGCCUUUGGAUAGAAAGCGUCCAAAUACUGUCAUAAUUGCGUCAUAGCAUUCUCUGCCCAAGUUGAACUGAGCCUUCAGAGCCAUUACUUGUGAGAUGGCAUCCAACUGACAAAGUUCAGUGUGCUCGUGGAGCGGACAUUUUGAAGACUCCAACAUUUCAUUGAAGGCCUUUGCAGAUUCCUCCAUCUCCUCGUCCGAAUCCCGAGCAUCAUCAUAGUCUUGCACCAUGUUUUCCAUCCCGGUACCAUGCUCGUCGGUGCGACGAUGAUCCACUUCAGCUCGGUCACGUUGGGCAGACUCGCCAUGAAAUGUCCACACCGUAUAAUCGGGCGUAAAACCACUCUUCUGCAGGUGUUCGCCCAUUUCAGCCUCUGUCUUCUUUUCCCAAUUGCCGCACCGGAAACAGGGGCACCAGGUUUUCUUUUGGCCAUUUGCAAAUGCGGCUUGCACAAACCCCUUGGUUUUUGUGAACCAUUCAGCGCUCCAUUUGUUCUGACCAGUGUGACCGGUAUACAUCCACGCACGGUCACUCAUCUUGACUUUUAGAGCUACUGGACACACAACAAUUAUAUAUGUAAUUCACCAUGUAUAUAUUCAUCAGUUGAUCUACUUUGUCAAUUUUAUUACGUCCAUGCAACCUACACUCUAAUAGGUAAUAAUAGGUCCUAAUCCCACCCGUGUAUGUGUAGAUUGGGUUCAUUUUCCCAUGCUAUGCUCCGGAUCCGACGCAAAAUUUUGGCAGCACCUCCCCGCUGUUCUCCUGAUACACGUCUCUGCAAUAAACAGAGAGGAUGUGUACCCUGAGAACAACAGGGGAGGCACUGACGAAAUUUAUGCGUCGGAUCCGGAGCAAAGCAUAUGGGAAAACGAACCCAAUCUACACAUACUCGGGCUGUCCAUGGAUAGCGUUGGACAAUUCGAAAGAAUCAAGGUUAUAAAUAUGCAAAUGCAUGCAUAUUUAUAACUAUGACGCUUUCGAAUGGGAGACACAUAUUGGUUACGAUACUGAUGAUUCAAGACACAUAUAUAGCUAGCUAUCAAGUUUCAUCGGAAUAGAUCAAAUAAUUAAUGGGGGAGGAGGACUUGUCAUUUGUGCUCACCCACGAACGAAGGGGCAGAGCUCGUCAAACGCACGGCGAGGUCGUCGAACACCAAACCUCGCAGCGAUCAAACAACUACGCAUUUAAAACUACACGAUCAACACAAUUAUAUAUGAUGUUUUUCAUAACAAAAUCGAAAAAUAUAUGACCUAACUAAUAAUUCACAAAUAUAUGACCCCGUCGGCCUCUGGAAGGCCAAAGAACACCUUUUUGGGAGGUGUCGGGGGACGGGGUGUCCUGUCGGUGUCGGGGUGCCGUGUCGGGGUCGGGGUGCUGUUUCGGGGUCGGGGGGUCGGGNNNNNNNNNNNNNNNNNNNNNNNNNNNNNNNNNNNNNNNNNNNNNNNNNNNNNNNNNNNNNNNNNNNNNNNNNNNNNNNNNNNNNNNNNNNNNNNNNNNNNNNNNNNNNNNNNNNNNNNNNNNNNNNNNNNNNNNNNNNNNNNNNNNNNNNNNNNNNNNNNNNNNNNNNNNNNNNNNNNNNNNNNNNNNNNNNNNNNNNNNNNNNNNNNNNNNNNNNNNNNNNNNNNNNNNNNNNNNNNNNNNNNNNNNNNNNNNNNNNNNNNNNNNNNNNNNNNNNNNNNNNNNNNNNNNNNNNNNNNNNNNNNNNNNNNNNNNNNNNNNNNNNNNNNNNNNNNNNNNNNNNNNNNNNNNNNNNNNNNNNNNNNNNNNNNNNNNNNNNNNNNNNNNNNNNNNNNNNNNNNNNNNNNNNNNNNNNNNNNNNNNNNNNNNNNNNNNNNNNNNNNNNNNNNNNNNNNNNNNNNNNNNNNNNNNNNNNNNNNNNNNNNNNNNNNNNNNNNNNNNNNNNNNNNNNNNNNNNNNNNNNNNNNNNNNNNNNNNNNNNNNNNNNNNNNNNNNNNNNNNNNNNNNNNNNNNNNNNNNNNNNNNNNNNNNNNNNNNNNNNNNNNNNNNNNNNNNNNNNNNNNNNNNNNNNNNNNNNNNNNNNNNNNNNNNNNNNNNNNNNNNNNNNNNNNNNNNNNNNNNNNNNNNNNNNNNNNNNNNNNNNNNNNNNNNNNNNNNNNNNNNNNNNNNNNNNNNNNNNNNNNNNNNNNNNNNNNNNNNNNNNNNNNNNNNNNNNNNNNNNNNNNNNNNNNNNNNNNNNNNNNNNNNNNNNNNNNNNNNNNNNNNNNNNNNNNNNNNNNNNNNNNNNNNNNNNNNNNNNNNNNNNNNNNNNNNNNNNNNNNNNNNNNNNNNNNNNNNNNNNNNNNNNNNNNNNNNNNNNNNNNNNNNNNNNNNNNNNNNNNNNNNNNNNNNNNNNNNNNNNNNNNNNNNNNNNNNNNNNNNNNNNNNNNNNNNNNNNNNNNNNNNNNNNNNNNNNNNNNNNNNNNNNNNNNNNNNNNNNNNNNNNNNNNNNNNNNNNNNNNNNNNNNNNNNNNNNNNNNNNNNNNNNNNNNNNNNNCAGUGGGGCCCCUCCCUCUUUGCCGUCCGCUAGCCGACGACAAAGAAUCUUUGCCGUCUGCUAGCCGACGGCAAAGAACUGGCUGAUGGCAAAUUAGGUCUUUGCCAUCAGCCAGUUCUUUGCCGUCUGCUUUUUGGUAGCUGAUGGCAAAGAGCUUCUUUGCCGUCCGCUAGCUGACAGCAAAGAGCUGGCAGAUGGCAAAGUAGCUGAUUCCAGUAGUGCUUGUUGGAACAUGGAGAUGUUGUUCCUUGUUGGAACAUAUUUACUUGUUGGGAUAUCACAAUAUCUCUUAUUUAAUUAAUGCAUCUAUAUACUUGGUAAAGGGUGGAAGGCUCGGCCUUAUGCCUGGUGUUUUGUUCCACUCUUGCCGCCCUAGUUUCCGUCAUAUCGGUGUUAUGUUCCCGAAUUUUGUGUUCCUUACGCGGUUGGGCUAUUAUGGGAACCCCUUGACAGUUCGCCUUGAAUAAAACUCCUCCAGCAAUGCCCAACAUUGGUUUUACCAUUUGCCACCUAGCCUUUUCUUUUCCCUUGGGAGUCGCGCUCCUGAGGGUCAUCUUAUUUAAACCCCCCUGGGCCAGUGCUCCUCUGAGUGUUGGUCCACCCGAGCUGCCUGCGGGGCUACCUCGGGGAAACUUGAGGUUUGGUUUUACUCGUAGCUAGUCUCAUCUGAGUGUGCCCUGAGAACGAGAUAUGUGCGGCUCCUAUCGGGAUUUGUCGGCACAUUCGGGCGGUGUUGCUGGACUUGUUUUAUCUUUGUCGAAGUUGUCUUGUAGAACCGGGAUGCCGAGUCUGAUCGGAAUGUCUCAGGAGAAGGUUUAUCCUUCGUUCACCGUGAGAGCUUGUGAUGGGCUAAGUUGGGACACCCCUGCAGGGACUUGAACUUUCGAAAGCCGUGCCCGUGGUUAUGGGCAGAUGGGAAUUUGUUAACGUCCGGUUGUAGAAAACCUGAAGUUGACCUUAAUUAAAAUGCAUCAACCGCGUGUGUAACCGUGAUGGUCUCUUUCCGGCGGAGUCCGGGAAGUGAACACGGUGUUGGAGUUAUGUUUGACGUAGGUUGUUCUAGGAUCACUUCUUGAUCAUAGAUUCUCGACCGUUCUUUUGCCUUCUCUUCUCGCUCUCAUUUGCGUAUGUUAGCCACCAUAUAUACUAGUCGCUUGCUGCAGCUCCACCUCAUACCUUUACCUUACCCAUAAGCUUAAAUAGUGUUGAUCGCGAGGGUGUGAGAUUGCUGAGUCCCUGUGGCUCACAGAUACUUCCAAAACCAGUUUGCAGGUGCCGAUGAGUCCGUGCAGAUGACGCAACCAAGCUCAGGAGGAGCCCAAUGAAGAUCUUGUCCUUUGUGUUGAUUCGUUCUAGUUGAUCAGAAGUGGUGCCAGUUGGGGUCGAUCGGGGACCGUGUCGCAUUUGGGGUUCUUCUUUUAUUUUGGCUCCGUAGUCGGGCCAUGAUUAUAUUUGGAUGAUGUAAUGUUUUAUUCAUGUAUUUGUGUGAAGUGGCGAUUGUUAGCCAACUAUGUAUCUUUUCCCCUAUUGUAUUACAUGGGUUGUUUGCGAAGAUUACCUCACUUGCGACAUUGCUUUCAAUGCAGUUAUGCCUCUAAGUCGUGCUUCGACACGUGGGAGAUAUAGCCGCAUCGAGGGCGUUACAUGUCAUCUUGGAGAUCGUUCUUCUCCCCCAUCACCUUUAAUAGCACCCUCUCACCAGCCUUUAGCUGGCGUAGGAGGUGUUGCCUUUCCGGAUUCAAUCCGGCGCCAUCUGCAAUUUCAUUUGUCAGAUUCGCACCAAAGCCGUGCUUCGCAAAAUACUUAUCUUUCGAAGUGUCUAUUACCAGAGGGGGUCUCCUUAGGCUCCCCUGCCACGGCUAGUGCAGCCUCCAGUUGGGCUUUGCACUCUAACAGCUCCUUGGACAGUAGGGAAUUCUUUUCUGUAAGAACUUGCAUAUCAAAUGAUCCUUAAAUCAGUUAUUCUAACUGUUUCAAGUCUCGGGGGCUACUGCUAUAUAUAUAAUUACCAAAAUUUUCUUACCCGUAUGUCUUUUACAUAUUGCUCCAUGGCUCUGGCUAGACCAUUUUGAGCGGCACGGAGGUGCGCAUCUCCCGAGUUGAAGGCAUCUAACGCCCCUUCGGAGAAACAAGCGUCGCGAAGAAUUGUCCGGCGACGCCUGUGGUUCAUGGCACUCUCCACCUCAGAGUUGGUGGCAGACAACCCGUCCACAUCCUCCGUCGGAGGAGCGUCUGGCGCGCGCCUUGCGUUCGCCUCUGCCUCCGGACCAGGCUUUGGAGCCUGGCUGGUGGAGGCGCGAUUGGCAGCCUCUCCGGGUAUAGUCCGGCGAGGUCUCUUUGUCCUGAAGAGAGCACGAGUGUCAAUGUGCCUCGAAGGUAUAACACCUAGGAUAAGGGGGCGUGCCAUACCUUUGCACUGACGCCUCGGUCCGGACUGCACUUCUUUUCGGCCCACGGGGCCCUGCGGCCCCUCGUUGGCUUGUCGCCGCAGGUUCGGCCUUCCGCCUUAAAAACCUCCCUUGUAAAGUUCGGUGCAAUCAGGAAACUGAACACGAGUGGGCGGACACCUAUUCGAGGUAUUGGGACUUUCAUCUCAGGUACCUGGGGCGUCAGGAUUAGCCCUGGGUAAUCGGCCGUAAUGGCCACCAAGGCGUUGUCCUCGCUCAAUUGAUGGAACACUCCAUCAAUCAGGUCCACAGAUAUGUCCGGAUCCUCUUGAGAGGUCGGGUCGAGGGACCGUCCUGGGUCCUCGGGUUGUGGAGGAGGGCUGCUUAUUUCCUUAACAGCCCGGCGCAGUUCCUGUGUUGAAGUCAUCAGACUGAAUAUUUAACAAUGGGAAUACAAAACGGAUGGACAAGUAAAUACCCAGCUUGGGGGAUUAUGCAUGGAGAAUCCGCCCUGAGGGUUGACGCGGAGGAAUUCCUCCUAUUCUCCCUUAUAUAAAGUGGACAAGAUCUUCAGUAGAGCGGCAGCUGAAUCCAGCCCCUUAUGACCGUAGCGGGUGGCGUCGUCCUCCCCGUUAAAGUCCCACAUGGGGUGGCUUCUAUACUGAAGCGGCUGCACCCCCCGCAUAAUGCAUUCGGCCAUAACCCCGAUCAUGGUUAGUCCGGAAUGGACUAACAAUCUUAUUCGGCCCAUCAGGUAAAUGAUGUCCCUGUCGCUUUCCCUCUGAGGGCUCCGUGGGUGCCAGCUUAGGCGCUUCUUUAAGGGAGCACUGUUGAAUUCAGGGAUGCCGAUCCGGACAGGAUCCGGCAGCGGGACGUCUUCUAUAUAGAACCAUUCUGAGGGCCAGUCUUCGGACGCCUUCUUUGGGGUUCCGGACAGAUAUCCGGUCUCGGCGAUGCGCCACACUUCGGCUCCGCCUACUUGAUACAUUGACCCCUUCUUGGAACGGGCACGAGGCAAAAUAGCUCCUUCCACAGUCCGAAAUGAGCUUCAACACCCAAGAACAGCUCGCAGAGGGCUACAAAGCCCGCGAUAUGCAAUACUGACGUAGGCGUGAGAUGAUGUAGCUGGAGGCCGUAGAACUCCAGCAGCCCCCGAAGAAAUGGGUGGAUUGGAAAUCCGAGCCCCCUUAUUAAGUAAGGGACAAGGCACACCUGCUUUCCUUUGGAGGGAUUAGGGGCAUUCUCUGCUUGCUCUCCGCCGUUGUAGACGGCAAGACCGGCUCGAACCGGGACCAUAUAGGCCGGGGGGAGAAAUCCCUUGGUCUGGAGCGUCACUAGCUCGCUGUGCGGGGUGGAACAUCUCUCCCAAUAUCCAGACUUAGGGCUGGAAGGGCGAGGGGAGGAGUUGCGACGGCUGGCCAUGGUGGAAUGGACCUUUGUCGGAUGCGCCCUGAUGAACACUCGCAGAGGGGAGAAGGUGUGGAUUGGAUCUAAAUCCUCAUCCCCUUAAAUAGGGCAGCUCAUUUACGCGGCUAGGGGUGUGAAUGUAAAAACACUCAGACUUUUCAUAUUCGUUUGACACGUGGGAAGCGGCCAUUGUUGGGCGUAGAAGCCAAGGAGCGCAACAUCUAUAAGAAACCGGACUUUAUUCAAACAGGUACACGGAAUUUGGAGGAGAACCCGCCUUGCAAUGUCGAAGACAAUCUGCGCGCGGGACUCGUCAUCAUUGAAGCCUGGUUCGGGGGCUACUGAGGGAGUCCUGGAUUAGGGGGUGUUCGGAUAGCCGGACUAUACCUUCAGCCAGACUCCUGGACUAUGAAGAUACAAGAUUGAAGACUCCGUCCCGUGUCCGGAAGGGACUUUCCUUGGCGUGGAAGGCAAGCUUGACGAUACGGAUAUGUAGAUCUCCUACCAUUGUAACCGACUCUAUGUAACCCUAACCCUACCCGGUGUCUAUAUAAACCGGAGGGUUUUAGUUCGUAGGACAACAUACACAUCAAUAAUCAUACCAUAGGCUAGCUUCUAGGGUUUAGCCUCCUCGAUCUUGUGGUAGAUCUACUCUUGUACUACCCAUAUCAUCAAUAUCAAUCAAGCAGGACGUAGGGUUUUACCUCCAUCGAGAGGGCCCGAACCUGGGUAAAACUUCGUGUCCCUUGUCUCCUGUUACCAUCCGGCCUAGACGCACAGUUCGGGACCCCCUACCCGAGAUCCGCUGGUUUUGACACCGACAACGGCCAUUCAACCUUAUGCAUCAAAUAUAGUAUAUUUUCCAAAGUGAUGCAAGCAUGCCUAUUAUUCACAGUAAUUGUUUAGAUGUUGUUCCAUCGAAAUAUAUUGUUCCGGCAUUGCGUCGAGGGAGAGAGUCACAAAAUAUAUGUGAGAUAAUCCAGUCGAAUAGAAAACGUUCUGGAGACGACAACAACAGCAAGUCUGAUAGUUUUGGAAGACAGCUUACUAGUUCUGUGCUUCGUUUUGGGGAUUUCCUGUGUGAGAUUGUACCACAAGAUGAGAUUGAGCCAUGCUUCCGGACUCCAUGUAACAAUUGGAUGAUUGUUGAGUGUACGUGAACCUCAAAGCAAGUACUAGUUCAUUUUGGCUUCUUGUGAUCAGCGUUGCCGGAUUUUUAAAUUAGUUAAUUAUAAUAAUUAGUUAAGAUAAGAGAGAGUCCGUGUAUUUCUUUUCUUAUUUUGAGUCGGUUUGGGUUAGGUUGUUACAUUGCCUAUAUAAGAGGCCGGCUUCGGCCGUGUACGGGGAGUUAUGACUUUUUUGGUUAGAGGAACACGACAUGAACAAGUCGGGGUAUCUCUCCGUAUGAGCAGUGCUGGUUAAAAAGUUGAUUACUUUGUGUGUGUUUGCAUGAAGAUUGGAGGCUGCGACUUCUAAUCUGUACGUGAGUACUUGUGCUCGUCCAUGUGAUUCCGGCUGUUCGCAGGGUUUGCAUGUUGUUUGUUUGGGUUUGCAUCUAGUAAACCUAAUUUUGGAUCAAGGUUCCACUGCUGCACAAAUUGAUUUGGGUGUUGUUUCUGUUCGAACGUACGGGAGGCUAGAAAGAGCAAAUAAUAGCUACUGCAGUUUCGAGAAGAAAUACUUAUUGCUAUUUUCUGUACCGUGAAAGAUUGAGAAAAAUUAUUCGCGCCGUUGAAGUUUCUGUCGACAUUCGCAUCAAGUGGUAUUUAGAGCAAGGUUGAUCACGGUACAAAUUUUUUUCCUACUAUUUGAUUUAACUGUUUGAAAGAUUGUGAACUCGCAGCAUGACAAAUCUGAUCAUGAGGAGGUCGAUGAGCUUCUGGAGGGUUUGGAGAUAAGUGAUGAUUUGUGUAUUCAUCUGAUGGCGAUCAAGGGAGCCAACAAGAAGCUUGGGACAAGGGUGGAGGAGUUGUCUGCAAAUAUUGUAGGCGUCGAGGACAGGUUGAACGAGCGUUUGACUGCCAGCGACCGACAACGCACUGAUAGUCUACAGGUGGUGACUGAGAGUCUUAAUCGGCUCACCGCAGCAGUUCGGCGCCUUCAGGCGAGAGAUGUGGCACCCCGACAGUCCCGCUCACCACGACGACGUCGUGACCACGGCAACGACGAUGAUGGUGAUUUUUCUGAGGAUUCUGAUGCCCGUGGAGGCUUACCUCACCGACCACGGCAUGAUGCUGGGGCUCACCGCCAUGCUGGGCGGCGCCGUGACUAUGGCGGCAAUGGUGUCGACGAGGAUGAUGGUUUGGGUCAAAUCAAGAUAACCAUACCUGAAUUCUCAGGACGUUGUGCUGACCCGGAGAAAUAUUUGGAGUGGGAGAUGCACGUAAAUCAGAUUUUUGAUGGUCACAACUACUCCGAAGAGAAGAAGGUUCGUGUUGCAUCAAUGGAAUUUACAGAGUAUGCUCUUGUAUGGUGGGAUAAUAAGAACCGUACUCAUGAGCGACCAGCGACAUGGACUGACAUGAAGCGAAUCAUGAGGGAACGUUUUGUGCCUGCUUAUUACACUCGCCAGCUCCAUAGUAGACUACAUCGUCUAGUGCAAGGUACAAAAUCAGUUGAUGAGUACUACAAAGAGAUGCAAGUUUUGAUGAUCUGUACAGCUGUGCGUGAGUCUGCGGAGGCGACCAUGGUACGUUUCUUUGAGGGGUUAGAAGAAAAGAUUCGUGACCAUGUUGAUUUAAUGCAAUAUAAUGAUAUUCAUGAGUUGCUUCAUCAAGCAGAGCAUGCUGAACGUUGGGUAUUGGAGAAGCAAGCUUCAGAGACUCGUCCAACUUACAACAGUUGGUCACGUGGUUCUUCUCCAAUUGAUGGUGGGUUUAGUGCUAAACCGACUCCUUAUAAGUCGGGAAGCAUUGAACAGAGCAAAGUGGCGGCUGCGCCAAAGGAGGUCUCUCAUGUUUCAUCUAAUGCGACUUCAUCUCAUCAUCGCAAUAUUAUUUGCCACAAGUAUGGAGGACGUGGACACAUGAAGCAUGAAUGUUCCAAUCAACGAAGGGUUCUACUUGUUGAUGCAGAAUAUAUUUCAGAAUCUGAAGAUGAGAUGCCAAAGUUAGAGGAUGGAAUUGAAAGAGGUCAUGGUGAUACCAUACUGUGUUAUCCUCAAGAUGAUCCUGAUAUGGAGAGUUUGCUAGCACGUAAGGUCCAGCAAGAUGACAAGGUUAUUUUUGAACCAGGACAACGACGGAGUAUUUUUCAAACUACAUGUACCAUCAAGGGAGAAGUGUGCAAACUGAUAAUUGAUGGCGGCAGUGCUAGCAACAUGAUUAGUAAGGAUGUGGUGGAGUCUUUUUCUUUGCCAACAUGGGAGCACCCAAGACCAUACUAUAUGAAGUGGAUAAAUGAUGUUGGCAAAGUGAAGGUAACUCACAGGGUGAAGGUUCCUUUUUUCUGUUGAUGGCUAUGUUGAUAAGGUGGAAUGCGACGUUAUGCCACUACAUGUUUGUUACCUUAUUUUGGGGCGUCCAUGGCAGCAUGAUGUUAACGCUCUUCAUCAUGGGCGAACAAACAGGUACACUUCUAUGCAUAAGGGUGAGUUCUAUGCUAUUCGUCCGAAGGAUGCACAGAAUAUAAAGUGUACUGUGGAAGUGUUCAAGAAGAGAUCUCCAAGGCCUAAGUCGAAACCGAGGAUGGUUUCUUUUCAAGGAAGGAAGGAUGAUGCAAGCAUACCUAUUAUUCACAUUAAUUGUUUGGAUGUUGUUCCAUCGAAAUAUAUUGUUCCGGCAUUGCGUCGAGGGAGAGAGUCACAAAAUAUAUGUGAGAUAAUCCAGUCGAAUAGAAAACGUUAUGGAGACGACAACAACAAGUGUGAUAGUUUUGGAAGACAGCUUACUAGUUCUGUGCUUUGUUUUGGGGAUUUUCUGUGUGAGAUUGUACCACAAGAUGAGAUUGAGCCAUGCUUCCGGACUCCAUGUAACAAUUGGAUGAUUGUUGAGUGUACGUGAACCUCAAAGCAAGUACUAGUUCGUUUUGGCUUCUUGUGAUCAGCGUUGCUGGAUUUUUAAAUUAGUUAAUUAUAAUAAUUAGUUAAGAUAAGAGAGAGUUUGUGUAUUUCUUUUCUUGUUUUGAGUCGGUUUGGGUCAGGUUGUUACAUUGCCUAUAUAAGAGGCCGGCUUCGGCUGUGUACGGGGAGUUAUGAUGUCAGGACCCCGACUCAAUGCCACAUCGAUCUAGCAUGUAACACCUCAUAUCACUUUGCGGCCUCACGCACGGUAUUCCCACGGGUGUCGCCUUACCUUUGCCCGGGACCGUUUGAGCCUUUUGGCACACGUAUAUGAUAGUGUCGCUAGCAUCCAUAUGAUAAGAAGCCCGGGCUGACAUGGCUAGUCGUAAACCCAAAGUGGCACUAACUUACAGGGACAGGCAUCCAUGACCCAGCAUCGAACGUGUCGGUCAUCAGCGAGUGAAUCCAGGCUGUAGCACUGGGCUAGCAGGACUCAGGUGAACUGGGCUGUAGCGGGCUAACAGGACUCCGGUAUUCAUCGCGUGACAUUUCCACGAAGGGACAGACACAGGAACGAAGAAGGACACAUGCCGGCCAGCCUAAGUGUUCCGGAGCAGUAGCAAGCUACCAUGGCUCAGUGGAAACACUAGGAGACAUUUCCCGGUAAGAGAGGCUACUAAGGAUAAACAACUAGAUAGCCAGAUCCCACACAUACCAAGCAUUUCAAUAACAUACACACAAUAUGCUCGAUAUGUGCAAAUACAACAUGGCAUCACAACAUGACUCUACGACUCAAGUAUUUAUUCAAUAGGCUCCGAGGAGCGAGAUAUUACAGACAGGGGUCUCAUGACCCAACAUUCAGAGCAUACAAGUCAAAGCACAUGCGGAAGCUUAACAUGUCUGAGUACAGACAACUAUAAAUGAAAAAGGCUGAGAAGCCUGACUAUCUACCAGAUCCUGCCGAGGGCACAAGAUCGUAGCUGAGGUAUCAAGCUAAACGUCGAAGACCACGCGGAACUACUAGCGAGACUGAUGUCUCUCUGCAAAAACAUAAAAUAGGCAAACGUGAGUACAAAUGUACCCAGCAAGACUUACAUCAGAACUAACUACAUAUGCAUCAUUAUCAACAAAGGGGAUGGUGGGGUUUAACUGCAGCAAGCCAGCUUUGACUCGAUGGCUAUCCUAACUACGACUGCAAGCAACUCUUUUGAGGUGGCGCACGCGAGUCCACAUAUUCACCAUAUCAAUACACCACUAUGGAUCCGCUCCCGUCUCCCUACGAGAACGCCAUCCAUAGCACUCACGCUUAUCUUGCGCAUUUUAGAGUAUCCACUUUCACUUGUCUAUGAACUGAUAUAAGCAACCCAGAAGUCCUUUUCCGCGGACACGGCUAUUCGAAUAGAUGAUGUUAACCCUGCAGGGGUGUACUUCUUCACACACGCUCUCAUCACUUACCGCCGUUUACACGACAUGUACUCGGCAACCUUCAAGCGGAAGCCCAACGUGGGUGUCGGCCACGGCCUGCCUAAACACUCAAGUCUCUAGUCCAGGUUUAUCGCCUAUUCGGGUUCCAUCCAUGAGGAGAUCCGGCCGGAGUUUCGCUCACAGCCCCAAACGAUGUGAACAGGGUUCCCGAGACACCAAACGGGCGCCCGGUACACCGUGCCACGUGCCUACCGCAUCACAGCCCACCCCUCCGGUCAGCACUGCCCACGGCCUCCAGCAUACUACAAACACCAGAAACUACUUGCAACUCCUGGACAGAGGACAAGGGUGAUCAAGAAGCCGAGAGGGUCCAUUGGUUUCGGGCCCAAUGCGUGGUAGUAGCUGAAUCAUGGAUCACAAACACAGAACUCAAUUCCUGAGGACGGCUGCAAUGAGACAACCCACCAUGUACUCCUACAUGGCCUCUCACCGCAACCUUUACCAAAUCGUAUUCACACACUUAGCUCACACACAGUAGGACAUGUUCACACACCUCUGAUUCAUCCCCGAUGAAUCAGACCUGACUCAACUCUAAGCAGUAGCAGGCAUGACAAACAAGCAUGAAUGAGUAGGCACAACAGGGCUCAAACAACUCCUACUCAUGCUAGUGGGUUUCAUCUAUUUACUGUGGCAAUGACAGGUCAUGCAAAGGAUAAAGGGGUUCAGCUACCGCAGCAAGUAACAGAUGAAUCGUUGUUGUCCUAAUGCAGUAAAAGAGAGCAGGAGCGAGAGAGUAGGAUUGUAUCGGAAUGAACAAGGGGGUUUUGCUUGCCUGGCACUUCUGAAGAUAAUAUAGUUCUUCAUCGGUGUCAUCGAUCUCGUCGUCGGAGUCACGUCUAUCGAGAGGGGACAAACACCGGCAAACAAGAAAGAACACAAUCAAUGCAAUGCACAAUAUGAUGCAUGCUAUGACAUGGCAAUAUGAAUGUGUUUUGGGCUAAUGCACCUAGCUAUGAUUUAAAUGAGGUUGGUUUGAAUACAUGAUUCAGAUUCCAACUCCAUAUAUGGUUAUUUAAAUGCCAUUUAAUUGAUUUGUGCUAAACAGCAGCUAUAAGUUGUUCUAACAUGCAUGAAAAUGGUACAGAUGGAUUCCUUGAAUUUUUAUGAUAAUUUUUCAUAUAUAAAUUAUUUAAUUUGGAGUUACGGUUGAAUUUCUAUGAUUUUUAGAAGUUUAUACAAUUUUCUGGAAUUUCCUGCAUUUAUUUUAAAAACCAGAAAUGAUUUAUUGCGUCAGCACUAGGUCAUGCUGACCUCAGCAGGUCAACAGGCGUCGACCAGGUCAAACCUGACUGGUGUGGCCCACCUGUCAUUGACUCAGCACUAACCUGGGUUUAGUUAACUCUUAACUAAAGUAAUUAGAAGGGCUGGGGCCCACAUGUCAGUGACACAGGAACUAAUCCCGGUCAAACCCAGCGCUGACUGGGGUUUGACCAGGGGUGGGGCCUACUGUCAGUGGCUGCAGGUUGUUUAGUUAGUUGGGUUAGCUCCUAAUGACAGAGCCACAUCGGCUCGCCGGAGUUUGGCCGGCGGCGACCAAAAACGCAGCGGAGACGCACCGGGGUGGCUCGGGUUUCGUCUAUACUGCACCGUUCAGUGCGCCCUUUGGCCCUACGGAGAGCUGGCGCGAUGGCGCAUCGGAUGGUCGUGGUCUCCGGGCCUGGGGUGGCCGGAGUCGACGGCGGCGAGCUCGGUUGCGGCCGCCGGAGCUCGGGUGAGACACGGGCGACCACUAGGGGGCACGAGAGGGCGAGCUGCGGCAUGCAACGGGCUCGUGGAGACGUUCUGAGCACGAUGGUGUACUCGGGUGGGAGCUCCAGUGGCUGUGGCCACGGCUACGCCAUGGCCGGCGGCGAGAUGUUCUCGGCCGUCAUGGGGAAUGAAGCUAGAGAACGACCGCGAGCUUGAGAGAAGAGGGGAGAGGAAGAGGGGCUCACGGCGAGUGCAGAGGUGGCCUCGGCGUGCUCGGGGAAGACUCGGUGACGGCGAAUCGGCGGCGGCGGGCGGCGGAGCCCGAGGAGGAAGACGAUGGUGAUGGCGGCGUUCCAGGGCGUCCGGCGCCGUGCGUCUCUACGAGGAGGCGUAGCCCACAGUGGCGGGGCGCGUGGGCACGACGGCGAGGCGAGAGGGAGGCUGUGGCUGCGUCGGCGUGCGGCGGCGCUUUCCGGUGUGUUCAGGCGUCGUGGGAGAGAGCGACAGAGGAGGAGUUGGGGACGAGGGAGAGUGCGAGGGGGUUCCAGGGGUGGCGUGGAGCUGCGGGAGACGCCCAGGGAGAGGAGGAGGCAGCCAGGGAAGGUGGUGGCGUGGCGAGCUCGGCGGCGUCGCGGUGUCCCUCCUCUGCCUACUGGCACGAGGAGGAAGGCGACAGGGGGAGGCGCCUGGUGGGCUGGGCCGGCCAGCUGCAGUGCUGGGCCGGUUGGCUACCAGGUGAGGCGCUAGGUGGGCUGCAGGUAGGUGGCCCAGGUAGGCUUCUGCUCUUUUUUAUAUUUCUGUUCUGUUUUCUUUUAUUUAAUCUUUUGCCACUGUUUUGAAUUUAAAAUAAUCCAAACAAUGCCAAAAACUCCUCUGAAUAUUUUUAUUUUGCUAGAUGGACUUUUCCAAAAGCUCAUAAAAUAUUUCAGGGGUAUUUGAAAUUAUAUUCUAAUUAUAUGAAUAUAAUUCAAAUUCAAAUAGCUAAUGAUUUAAAUUCAAAGUCCCAAGAUUAAGUCCUUAAAAAUGUUCAAUAUUUUGGUUGGGACCAGAACCCUUGCCAAAAAUUAUCAAACAUUUAAGAAGAGCAUUUUGGAACAAUGAAUGAGAUUUUAGGGUUUUUGCCCUUCUUUUAUUCAAGUUUUUGAGGCUUCCAAAUUUCCUCAGUUCAAGUUUCAAAAAUUUAAACAUGAUGCAAACACUAGGCAGCACCAGAAGCUAGGGAUGUGACAACUCACCCCCACUAAACAAGAAUCUCGUCCCGAGAUUCAAGAUGCGAGGUAAGAAGACAAAGGGGACACUAAGUAACACAAACUUCAUGAUCCAACUGCCUUCUCGAGGUUGUUGGUUGUCCGGCUCAAAUUGAACUUGAUGUCUUGCCUUCGAAAUCUCCAUCCAACAUGACGAUGACAGAAGGAAACUCUACGGAAUCGAUCUUCUCAAAGAUCGAACAACUCGGGAUUAACUCUCGGAAUGGGACAUAGCAACAUCUCUCGAGCUGAGAGACGAAGCACACAUCCAUAGGAAUGGAGUGAAGCAGAUGACGAAGGUUCACUAGGUAGACAACAAUUUCACACUUAAAAAGGUGGUAAACGAUUGUCAAUGUAGCGAGGAGUUGAGUUGCCAUGAUACCACAACGAGACACCUUAGGAACCGUGACUCGUUGAUAUAUCCCCUUAAGUGGCAAAAAGAAUUACCUUUGAUUCAGAGAUCAUUGAAACUCUUUAAACUAGCCUAAGGCAAUUCUCGAGCGAUCGUUUGGAGGGGGUCGGUAGAAUGGCAUACUCGGACUUGGAUGAUGUGGAUUACCUUGUUGAGGACAACGUGAUGGAUGAAUUUGCUUACCACCGGAAAUGGAAGAGACCCAUGGUAGAAUGGCACAUUGGCGGUGCAAGCUGGGAACAAAAUGCAAAUGCUGGGAAUGAUUCUGGUAACUGGGGAAGAACCCAACAAUAGAGAGUGAAUUCACUGUUUGAAAAGGUCAUAGCAUUGCCGAGGAAACUGAGAGCACUCCAGUUAGUGUCGAUGGUAACACCUAGCGCUUGUGCGUGCUCUCAAGAACUUGAGCAUUUCCAUAUUCAUCAGGGUUUUACCAAUAUCCGUGUCAAGGAUCCUGGCAACACAACUUGCUACCACGAUGAAUGAUGAUGGAUGAUGCAGAUGCAAAGGAAGAUAACACUUUCUUAGAUUUCACCCUUGGCGGGGCCAAGGAAAUAAAAUCUGGAUGAUCGACUGAGAGACAUUUAGCACUCCGCUUCUAAUGUUCUCCUUGAUGUGCUAGUGUAACCCAUUCAUAGAUAUGGUUUGAUAUCUAGAACAUCAAGUAAAAAGGUCGGACUUCAGAACACAGAAAUCCAUAGGGGCAACUAGGGAGUAAAUCCUACGAAAUCCCUAUGGGGAGGUGGCCAACUUCCUCAAUCAAGAUAUUAUAAUAACAGGUCUUCCGGCUGGGUGUGUUGGCCACGACAUCCACUUUACCGGUUUCCGAGGGACCGAUAUUAUAGUUCUUGGGAAAUGUUCCAAACCAUCAUAUCUGCCUGAGAUUCAGAUCUGGUUGGUGUCAGGAUAUUCCAGACUCAUCGAGUCUAGGAAGAUAAAUGAAAGUUUGCAACACAAUUCGACGAGAUAACGUUGCGAGAUUCUCGGGAAAUGAACUACGAUAGCAAACUCCAAAACAUGAGCUGGUUCUGCUACACACGUGUGAACACGAUGUCCUAGACAAGCAUGACCACGUGGUAGUCUUACAAUAAAACACUACCGAGUUCAGGUUGGGAACCAUCAACGAGGGUAUCGAAGUCCUUACAUAAGUCCGGAUUAGCUCUUAUGAAGGAACUCCUUCUCCUUGAACAAAUCAAUCAGUGGCUUGGUGUGCUAGGGAUACAUAUAGAUUGAAGGUUGCAAGUCUUCAACCACAGAAUUCUUCGCACGUGUGCAUGACUGAUUUGGAAUGAUUCCAAAGAAAGCAACAUUGACUUUCUCGAAUCCACGGCGGCAACUUGCAUCAGAUGCACAUGAAUUAAAGGAAGUCACUACCUUCAUCCAAACAUAUGCUUCAUGAACGAAACACGAAGAAAUGCUUACACAAGUUUCCAACACUAGGUUGAUGUUCAACAUGACUCAUGGGAGAGACAAAAUGCUGCUGAUGGGCUCAACAACAACUCAUCGAGAUUUCCAUGUAAAUGGAAUUCCAUAAUUAUGUGAACAAGUGAUAGCAUUGGUCAGACCCAAAAGAUAUAAUGGUGUAUGCUCGAGGGAUCAACCACGAGUAAGACAACAUUACGAGCAUCGUUGGUACUGAUUUGACUUGACGAUGGCCCACACUCAAAUCAAAGGAUUGAUAAGACAAUAGGUCCAACAACUGAUCACAGGGACCAAUCGAUGAAGAUAUCAUCUUUCUUCAACACACACUACACAAGAAUUGUUGGGGAACGUAGCAAAAAUUCAAAAAAUUUCCUACGUGUCACCAAGAUCUAUCUAUGGAGAGACCAGCUACGAGUAGAAGGAGAGUGCAUCUACAUACCCUUGUAGAUCGCUAAGCGGAAGCGUUCAAGUGAACGGGGUUGAUGGAGUCGUACUCGUCGUGAUUCAAAUCACCGAUGAUCAAGUGCCGAACGGACGGCACCUCCGCGUUCAACACACGUACAGCCCGGUGACGUCUCCCAUGCCUUGAUCCAGCAAGGAGAGAGGGAGAGGUUGAGGAAGACUCCAUCCAACAGCAGCACAACGGCGUGGUGGUGGUGGAGGAGCGUGGCAAUCCCGCAGGGCUUCGCCAAGCACCACGGGAGAGGAGAAGAACUUGGGAGAGAGGGAGGGGCUGCACCAAAGGCAUAAGGUGUGUUUGGGAGGCCCUCCUACCCCACUAUAUAUAGGGAUCCCAAGGGGGGGGUGCGCCAGCCCCUAGGAGAUCCAAUCUCCAAGGGGGCGGCGGCCAGGGAAGGAGUCCUCCCCCCCCCCCCAAGGCACCUAGGAGGUGCCUUCCCCUGCUGGGACUCUUCCUUUAGGGUUUCCCCAGGCGCAUGGGCCUCUUGGGGCUGGUGCCCUUGGCCCAUGUAGGCCAAGGCGCACCCCCUACAGCCCAUGUGGCCCCCGGGGCAGGUGGCCCCACCCGGUGGGCCCCCGGGACCCUUCCGGUGGUCCUGGUACAAUACCGAUGACCCCGAAACUUGUCCCGAUGGCCGAAACAGGACUUCCUAUAUAUAAAUCUUUACCUCCGGACCAUUUCGGAACUCCUCGUGACGUCCGGGAUCUCAUCCGGGACUCCGAACAACAUUCGGUAACCACAUACAAGCUUCCUUUAUAAGCCUAGCGUCAUCGAACCUUAAGUGUGUAGACCCUACGGGUUCGGGAGACAUGCAGACAUGACCGAGACGUUCUCCAGUCAAUAACCAACAGCGGGAUCUGGAUACCCAUGUUGGCUCCCACAUGUUCCACGAUGAUCUCAUCGGAUGAACCACGAUGUCAAGGACUCAAUCGAUCCCGUAUACAAUUCCCUUUGUCUAGCGGUAUUUUACUUGCCCGAGAUUCGAUCGUCGGUAUACCGAUACCUUGUUCAAUCUCGUUACCGGCAAGUCACUUUACUCGUUCCGUAACACAUCAUCCCGUGAUCAACUCCUUGGUCACAUUGCGCAUAUGAUGAUGUCCUACCAAGUGGGCCCAGAGAUACCUCUCCGUUUACACGGAGUGACAAAUCCCAGUCUCGAUCCGCAUAAAACAAUAGAUACUUUCGGAGAUACCUGUAGUGCACCUUUAUAGUCACCCAGUUACGUUGUGACGUUUGAUACACCCAAAGCACUCCUACGGUAUCCAGGAGUUACACGAUCUCAUGGUCAAAGGAAGAGAUACUUGACAUUGGCAAAGCUCUAGCAAAUGAACUACACGAUCUUUUGUGCUAGUCUUAGGAUUGGGUCUUGUCCAUCACAUCAUUCUCCUAAUGAUGUGAUCCCGUUAUCAACGACAUCCAAUGCCCAUAGCCAGGAAACCAUGACUAUCUGUUGAUCACAAUGAGCUAGUCAACUAGAGGCUCACUAGGGACAUAUUGUGGUCUAUGUAUUCACACGUGUAUUACGAUUUCCGGAUAAUACAGUUAUAGCAUGAAUAAAAGACAAUUAUCAUGAACAAGGAAAUAUAAUAAUAAUACUUUUAUUAUUGCCUCUAGGGCAUAUUUCCAACAGUCUCCCACUUGCACUAGAGUCAAUAAUCUAGUUCACAUCGCCAUGUGAUUAACACUCACAGAUCACAUCGCCAUGUGACUAAUACCCAAGAGUUUACUAGAGUCAGUAGUCUAGUUCACAUCACUAUGUGAUUAACACUCAAUGAGUUUUAUGUUUGAUCAUGUUGCUUGUGAGAGAGGUUUUAGUCAACGGGUCUGAACCUUUCAGAUCCGUGUGUGCUUUACAAAUCUCUAUGUCAUCUCCUAGAUGCAGCUACCACGCUCUAUUUGGAGCUAUUCCAAACAACUGUUCUACUUGGAGCUAUUCUAAAUUAUUGCUCCAUUAUAUGUAUCUGGUCUCUCUACUCAGAGCUAUCCGGAUAGGUGUCAAGCUUGCAUCGACGUAACCCUUUACGACGAACUCUUUUACCACCUCCAUAAUCGAGAAAAUUCCUUAGUCCACUAGUUACUAAGGAUAACUUUGACCGCUGUCAUGUGAUCCAUACUUGGAUCACUCUCGUACCCCUUGACUGACUCAUGGCAAGGCACAUUUUAGGUGCGGUACACAGCAUAGCAUACUGAAGAGCCUACGUCUUAAGCAUAGGGGACGACCUUCGUCCUUUCUCUCUAUUCUGCCGUGGUCGAGCUUUAAGUCUUAGCUUCGUACCUUACAACUCAGGCAAGAACUCCUUCUUUGACUGGUCCAUCUUGAACACCUUCAAGAUCAUGUCAAGGUAUGUGCUCAUUUGAAAGUACCAUUAAGCGUUUUGAUCUAUCCUUAUAGAUCUUGAUGCUCAAUGCUCAAGCAGCUUAAUCCAGGCUUUCCAUUGAAAAACACUUUCAAAAUAACCCUAUAUGCUUUCCAGAAAUUCUACGUCAUUUCUGAUCAACAAUAUGUCAACAACAUAUACUCAUCAGAAAUUCUAUAGUGCUCCCACUCACUUCUUUGGAAAUACAAGUUUCUCAUAAACUUUGUACAAACCCAAAAUCUUUGAUCAUCAUCAAAACAUACAUUCCAACUCCGAGAUGCUUACUCCAGUCCUUAGAAGGAUCGCUGGAGCUAGCAUACCUUUUAGCAUCCUCAGGAUUGACAAAACUUUUCUGAUUGUAUUGCAUACAACCUUUCCUUACAAAAACUAGUAAGGAAACUUGUCUUGACAUCCAUCUGCCAGAUUUCAUAAAUGAAGCUAAUGCUAACAUGAUUCCGACGGACUUAAGCAUCGCUACGGAUGAGAAAAUCUCAUCGUAGUCAACUCCUUGAACUUGUGAAAAACUCUUCGCCACAAGUCGAGCUUCAUGGAUGGUGACAUUUCCAUCCACGUCCGUCUUCUUCUUAAAAGAUCCAUUUAUCUCAAUGGAUUGCCGAUCAUCGGGCAAGUCCAUCAAAGUCCAUGCUUUGUUCUGAUAUAUGGAUACUAUCUCGGAUUUCAUGGCUUCUAACCAUUUGUCGAAAUUCGGGCCCACCAUCGCUUCUCCAUAGCUCGUAGGUUCAUUGUUGUCUAGCAACAUGACCUUCAAGACAGGAUCACCUUACCACUCCGAAGUAGUACGUGUCCUUGUCGUCCUACGAGGUUUGGUAGUGACUUGAUCCGAAGUUUCAUGAUCAAUAUCAUAAGCUUCCACUUCAAUUGGUGUAGGUGCCACAGGAACAACUUCUUGUGCCCUGCCACACACUAGUUGAAGAGACGGUUCAAUAACCUCAUCAAGUCUCCACCAUCCUCCCACUCAACUCUUUCGAGAGAAACCUUUCCUCGAGAAAGGACCCGAUUCAAGAAACAAUCCAUAUUGCUUUCGGAUCUGAAUUAGGAGGUAUACCCAACUGUUUUGGGUGUCCUAUGAAGAUGCAUUUUAUCCGCUUUGGGUUCGAGCUUAAUCCUGAAACUUUUUCACAUAAGCGUCGCAGCCCCAGACCUUUAAGAAACGACAACUUAGGUUUCUCCAAACGGUGUCGUCUCAACGGAAUUACGUGGUGCCCUAUUUAAAGUGAAUGUGGUUGUCUCUAAUGCCUAACCCAUGAACGAUAGUGGUAAUUCGAUAAGAGACAUCAUGGUAUGCACCAUAUCCAAUAGGGUGCAACUAUGAUGUUCGGACACACCAUCACACUAUGGUGUUCCAGGCGGUAUUAAUUGCGAAACAAUUUCCACAAUGUCUUAAUUAUGUGCCAAAACUCGUAACUCAGAUAUUCAUCUCUAUGAUCAUAUCAUAGAUAUUUUAUCCUCUUGUCACAAUGAUCUGCUACUUCACUCUGAAAUUACUUGAACCAUUCAAUAAUUCAGACUUGCGUUUCAUCAAGUAAAUAUACUCAACAUUUACUCGAAUCAUCUGUGAAGUAAGAACAUAAUGAUAUUCACUGCAUGCCUCAGCACUCAUUCGACUGCACACAUCAAAAUGUGUUGCUUCCAACAAGUUGCUAUCUUGUUCCAUUUUACUGAAACCGAGGCUUUUCAGUCAUCCUGCCUAUGUGGUAUGAUUUGCAUAUCUCAAGUGAUUCAAAAUCAAGUGAGUUCAAACGGUCCAUUUGCAUGGAGUUUCUUCAUGCAUAUAUACCAAUAGACUUGGUUCGCAUGUCUCAAACUUUUCAAAAAUGAGUGAGUCCAAAGAUCCAUCAACAUGGAGCUUCUUCAUGCGUUUUAUACCAUUAUGACUUACAUGGCAGUGCCACAAGUAAGUGGUACUAUCAUUACUAUCUUAUAUCUUUUGGCAUGAAAAUGUGUAUCCCUACGAUCAAGAUUCAAUAAACCAUUCCUUUAGGUGCAAGAGCACUUAUUCAGGUUUAAUACUAAUCUUGAUGGUAGAGGGAGCGUGCGAUGUUAGAUCACAUCAAACUUGGAAACACUUCCAACACAUAUCGUUAGCUCACCUUUAGCCAGUCUCCGUUUUAUUCCGUAGCUUUUAUUUCGAGUUACUAACACUUAGCAACCGAACCGGUAUCCAAUACCCUGGUGCUACUAGGAGUACUAGUAAAGUACACAUUAACAUAAUGUAUAUCCAAUAUACUUCUAUCGACCUUGCCAGCCUUCUCAUCUACCAAGUAUCUAGGGUAAUGCUGCUCCAGUGGUUGUUCCCCUUAUUACAGAAGCACUUAGUCUCGGGUUUGGGUUCAACCUUGGGUUUCUUCACUAGAGCAGCAGCUGAAUUGCCGUUUCAUGAAGUAUCCCUUUGUUCCCUUGCCCUUCUUGAAACUAGUGGUUUCACCAACCAUCAACAAUUGAUGCUCCUUCUUGAUUUCUACUUUCGCGGUGUCAAACAUCGUGAAUACCUCAAGGAUCAUCUUAUUUAUCCCUAAUAUGUUAUAGUUCAUCACGAAGCUCUAGCAGCUCGGUGGCAAUGACUUUGGGGAAACAUCACUAUCUCAUCUGGAAGAUAAACUCCCACUCGAUUCAAGUGAUUGUUGCACUCAGACAAUCUGAGCACAAGCUCAACAAUUGAGCUUCUCUCCUUAGUUUGCAGGCUAAGAAAAUCGUCGGAGGUCUUAUACCUCUUGACGUGGGCACGAGCCUGAAAUCCCAAUUUCAGCCCUCGAAACAUCUCAUAUGUUCCGCGACGUUUCGAAAACGUCUUUGGUGCCUCAAUUCUAAACCGUUUAACUGAACUAUCACGUAGUUAUCAAAACGUGUAUGUUGGAUGUUCGAAACAUCCACAAACGACGUUUGGAGUUUAGCACACUAAGCGGUGCAUUAAGGACAUAAGCUAUCUACUGUCUGCAUAAUUGCUACUUUCAACUUUCAACUAUAUUUUCUCUAGGAACAUAUCUAAAAUAGUAGAACUAUAGCGUGAGCUACGACAUAAUUUGCAAAAGGUCUUUUGACUAUGUUCAGGAUAAUUAAGUUCAUCUUAUGAACUCCCACUCAGAUAGACAUCCCUCUGGUCAUCUAAGUGAUCACAUGAUCCGAGUCAACUAGGCCGUGUCCGAUCAUCACGUGAGACGGACUAGUUAUCAUCGGUGAACAUCUUCAUGUUGAUCGUAUCUACUAUACGACUCACGCUCGACCUUUCGGUCUCCGUGUUCCGAGGCCAUGUCUGCACAUGCUAGGCUCGUCAAGUUAACCCUAAGUGUUUUCGCUGUGUAAAACUGUCUUACACCCGUUGUAUGUGAACGUAAGAAUCCAUCACACCCGAUCAUCACGUGGUGCUUAGAAGCGACGAACUGUAGCAACGGUGCACAGUUAGGGGAGAACACUUCUUGAAAUUUUGUAAGGGAUCAUCUUAUUUACUACCGUCGUCCUAAGUAAACAAGAUGCAUAAACAUGAUAAACAUCACAUGCAAUCAAAUAGAGUAGUGACAUGAUAUGGCCAAUAUCAUAUAGCUCCUUUGAUCUUCAUCUUCGGGGCUCCAUGAUCAUCUUGUCACCGGCAUGACACCAUGAUCUCCAUCAUCAUGAUCUCCAUCAUCGUGUCUUCAUGAAGUUGUCACGCCAACGACUACUUCUACUUCUAUGACUAACGCGUUUAGCAAUAAAGUAAAGUAGUUUACAUGGCGUUCUUCAAUGACACGCAGGUCAUACAAAAAAUAAAGACAACUCCUAUGGCUCCUGCCGGUUGUCAUACUCAUCGACAUGCAAGUCGUGAAUCCUAUUACAAGAACAUGAUCAAUCUCAUACAUCACAUAUCAUUCAUCACAUUCUUCUUGGCCAUAUCACAUCACAAAGCAUACCCUGCAAAAACAAGUUAGACGUCCUCUAAUUGUUGUUUGCAUGUUUUACGUGGCUGCUAUGGAUUCUAGCAAGAACGUUUCUUACCUACACAAAACCACAACGUGAUAUGCCAAUUGCUAUUUACCCUUCAUAAGGACCCUUUUCAUCGAAUCCGUUCCGACUAAAGUGGGAGAGACUGGCACCCGCUAGCCACCUUAUGCACCAAGUGCAUGUCAAUCGGUGGAACCUGUCUCACGUAAGAGUACGUGUAAGGUCGGUCCGGGCCGCUUCAUCCCACAAUACCAUCGAAACAAGAUUGGACUAGUAACGGUAAGCAUAUUGAACAACAUCAACGCCCACAACUACUUUGUGUUCUACUCGUGCAAAGAAUCUACGCAAUAGACCUAGCUCAUGAUGCCACUGUUGGGGAACGUAGCAGAAAUUCAAAAAAUUUCCUACGUGUCACCAAGAUCUAUCUAUGGAGAGACCAGCUACGAGUAGAAGGAGAGUGCAUCUACAUACCCUUGUAGAUCGCUAAGCGGAAGCGUUCAAGUGAACGGGGUUUAUGGAGUCGUACUCGUCGUGAUUCAAAUCACCGAUGAUCAAGUGCCGAACGGAUGGCACCUCCGCGUUCAACACACGUACAGCCCGGUGACGUCUCCCACGCCUUGAUCCAGCAAGGAGAGAGGGAGAGGUUGAGGAAGACUCCAUCCAACAGCAGCACAACGGCGUGGUGGUGGUGGAGGAGCGUGGCAAUCCUGCAAGGCUUCGCCAAGCACCACGGGAGAGGAGAAGAACUUGGGAGAGAGGGAGGGGCUGCACCAAAGGCAUAAGGUGUGUUUGGGAGGCCCUCCUACCCCACUAUAUAUAGGGAUCCCAAGGGGGGGGUGCGCCAGCCCCUAGGAGAUCCAAUCUCCAAGGGGGCGGCGGCCAGGGAAGGAGUCCUCCCCCCCCCCCCAAGGCACCUAGGAGGUGCCUUCCCCUGCUGGGACUCUUCCUUUAGGGUUUCCCCAGGCGCAUGGGCCUCUUGGGGCUGGUGCCCUUGGCCCAUGUAGGCCAAGGCGCACCCCCUACAGCCCAUGUGGCCCCCGGGGCAGGUGGCCCCACCCGGUGGGCCCCCGGGACCCUUCCGAUGGUCCCGGUACAAUACCGAUGACCCCGAAACUUGUCCCGAUGGCCGAAACAGGACUUCCUAUAUAUAAAUCUUUACCUCCGGACCAUUCCGGAACUCCUCGUGACGUCCGGGAUCUCAUCCGGGACUCCGAACAACAUUCGGUAACCACAUACAAGCUUCCUUUAUAACCCUAGCGUCAUCGAACCUUAAGUGUGUAGACCCUACGGGUUCGGGAGACAUGCAGACAUGACCGAGACGUUCUCCAGUCAAUAACCAACAGCGGGAUCUGGAUACCCAUGUUGGCUCCCACAUGUUCCACGAUGAUCUCAUCGGAUGAACCACGAUGUCAAGGACUCAAUCGAUCCCGUAUACAAUUCCCUUUGUCUAGCGGUAUUUUACUUGCCCGAGAUUCGAUCGUCGGUAUACCGAUACCUUGUUCAAUCUCCUUACCGGCAAGUCACUUUACUUGUUCCGUAACACAUCAUCCCGUGAUCAACUCCUUGGUCACAUUGCGCAUAUGAUGAUGUCCUACCGAGUGGGCCCAGAGAUACCUCUCCGUUUACACAGAGUGACAAAUCCCAGUCUCGAUCCGCAUAAAACAAUAGAUACUUUCGGAGAUACCUGUAGUGCACCUUUAUAGUCACCCAGUUACGUUGUGACGUUUGAUACACCCAAAGCACUCCUACGGUAUCCAGGAGUUACACGAUCUCAUGGUCAAAGGAAGAGAUACUUGACAUUGGCAAAGCUCUAGCAAAUGAACUACACGAUCUUUUGUGCUAGUCUUAGGAUUGGGUCUUGUCCAUCACAUCAUUCUCCUAAUGAUGUGAUCCCGUUAUCAACGACAUCCAAUGCCCAUAGCCAGGAAACCAUGACUAUCUGUUGAUCACAACGAGCUAGUCAACUAGAGGCUCACUAGGGACAUAUUGUGGUCUAUGUAUUCACACGUGUAUUACGAUUUCCGGAUAAUACAGUUAUAGCAUGAAUAAAAGACAAUUAUCAUGAACAAGGAAAUAUAAUAAUAAUACUUUUAUUAUUGCCUCUAGGGCAUAUUUCCAACAAGAAUAUCCCUUUGGAACGAACUAAGUCAGACAAGCUUUUAUCUUCCAACUCUUCAAGUUGUUGUCUAGCUUAACCAACUAGCUCAGGGAUAUCUAACACCGAUUCUUGGAGAGAAGGUGGUUCAUAAGAAACCAACUUGAUCACGAGCUCAACAUAACGGUCAGGUGACGACCUGGUGAUACUUCCGAGAAGACAUUCAGAAAAUCACGAACCACCGGUAUGUUACUAAGCUCGAGAACAAUCUCACUUUUGAGGGCAACACGAUAUGAUCAAAUGAGUGAGGACUUGAAAUAAUUCCUAUCUCAUUGGUCGAGGAGUGCACCAGAAAUAGGGACUAGGCAGCACAAUCAGUCUUAGGGUGACGAUUCAAUAAUCAACACGCUAAGAAUGAGGUUAUCGUCCAUUUAACUACCAAGCAACAGAGUUGCUAGCAGUAUUGAUUUCACACGCCAUGAUUCAUUUGUCGGCAUUCCGGUUACAAUAACACAGGAAUCGAGGAAUGAACAAUGAUGGCAAGAAGUAUCAAUGUACCAAGAGUUCAUAGGAUGGUGUGCGAUUCCUAUAACAAUCCUGAUAUAAAAGAUGGUAAUACUCCAAUGUAGAGCAGAACAAAAGCUGGAUUAGCAAUUUGAUCUGCGGAGCACAACUUCUUUGACCCAAUCCUGGAUAUGGAAGAGGUACUGGAGUUUGUUUCUCCUAGUCAUUCUGCGAUAGAAUGGCUUGACGGACCACAAGAGUAAUAUGCAUCGAUAAACGAACGCACGCAUACUCUUGACUAUCAAUUGAUAGACGAAGGUCAGUAGACAACUAAAAAGGGACAACUCAAAGGAACAUAUAACUUCCUGAGUUGUGGAUGCAUAGAUUAGUAUGUCGAACCAAGUUCAACAUAAUUCUUCCGGAUAACCCAUGCAGAAAGGUUGAGCUGGCAGAGUCACAACAUAGCAUGGAGAGCUCAUCGAGAGCACUCUUGUUGUCAUCUUUUGGUUCAGAAGAACUCCUGCCAAGAAUGGUUCAUGGUAAUUGGAAGAAGGAUGUACCACGAACCUUGAGGACUAUCGCAAAGGUUACUAAUAUCCUAAAGGAACUAGCAACACUAUCAACAUGAAGUAAGUAGGGUGAAUCUCGGGUUCAAGAACCCAGGAAUAGAAUGCCUACUAACUAAAUGGCAUCACAGGAUGCUUUCGAUAAUAAAGGCCAGAAUCUUCACACUGGGAACACAAAACGUUGCUAGAUUACUAGGUGACUCCCUAAAACACCUAGGGUCAUAAUCAUAACUCCAACAUAAAGGUCGAGGCAGUAGAGUACCUCAACUCAACAAUUUGUGUGAUUAACCUGGCCUAGAAAGACAUUGAAACCAGAGGAAAAAGAUUUUGCAAAUGCAUCAGACUCUUUGGAAACCUGGGAUGACUCGGACAGCGUAACGGCUGUAAAUGCUCAAAUGAUUUGAGACAUCCAACAAAAUGGUGGCAUAACCACUCAGAAGCACAAUAAUAAGGUUUGGAGAUCAACAAUUAACAUACGGAAGUAGUAGGAACUGACCGAGGCUUAAAUCCAACAAUCUUAUAAGUCUACGGAUUAGUAACACGUGAUCCUGAUAGAAAGAAGAGAAGGUCUAGUUCUUAACCCCGUAGGAAGGAUAAGAUGACUCGGAUCAGAAGGCAUAAGGUAUAAGGAGUAAAAAGAGCCUUACGUUCCCAUCCCACAAUCAAUUCCCUUAUAUAACUAAAGAAUUUCUAGACUCAACUUCGACCAGUUUGGCUUGGUAAUCCUACAGGCAGUCAAGCUUUGAUACCAACGCUGUCAGGACCCCGACUCAAUGCCACAUCGAUCUAGCAUGUAACACCUCAUAUCACUUUGCGGCCUCACGCAUGGUAUUCCCACGGGUGUCGCCUUACCUUUCCCCGGGACCGUUUGCGCCUUUUGGCACACGUAUAUGACAGUGUCGCUAGCAUCCAUAUGAUAAGGAGCCCGGGCUGACAUGGCUAGUCGUAAACCCAAAGUGGCACUAACUUACAGGGACAUGCAUCCAUGACCCAGCAUCGAACGUGUCGGUCAUCAGCGAGUGAAUCCAGGCUGUAGCACUAGGCUAGCAGGACUCCAGUGAACCGGGCUGUAGCGGGCUAACAGGACUCCGGUAUUCAUCGCGUGACAUUUCCCCGAAGGGACAGACACAGGAACGAAGAAGGACACAUGCCGGCCAGCCUAAGUGUUCCGGAGCGGUAGCAAGCUACCAUGGCUCAGUGGAAACACUAGGAGACAUUUCCCGGUAAGAGAGGCUACUAAGGAUAAACAACUAGAUAGCCAGAUCCCACACAUACCAAGCAUUUCAAUAACAUACACACAAUAUGCUCGAUAUGUGCAAAUACAACAUGGCAUCACAACAUGACUCUACGACUCAAGUAUUUAUUCAAUAGGCUCCGAGGAGCGAGAUAUUACAGACAGGGGUAUCAUGACCCAACAUUCAGAGCAUACAAGUCAAAGCACAUGCGGAAGCUUAACAUGUCUGAGUACAGACAACUAUAAAUGAAAAAGGCUGAGAAGCCUGACUAUCUACCAGAUCCUGCCGAGGGCACAAGAUCGUAGCUGAGGUAUCAAGCUAAACGUCGAAGACCACGCGGAACUACUAGCGAGACUGACGUCUCUCUGCAAAAACAUAAAAUAGGCAAACGUGAGUACAAAUGUACCCAGCAAGACUUACAUCAGAACUAACUACAUAUGCAUCAUUAUCAACAAAGGGGAUGGUGGGGUUUAACUGCAGCAAGCCAGCUUUGACUCGGUGGCUAUCCUAACUACGACUGCAAGCAACUCUUUUGAGGUGGCGCACGCGAGUCCACAUAUUCACCAUAUCAAUACACCACUAUGGAUCCGCUCCCGUCUCCCUAUGAGAACGCCAUCCAUAGCACUCACGCUUAUCUUGCGCAUUUUAGAGUAUCCACUUUCACUUGUCUAUGAACGGAUAUAAGCAACCCAGAAGUCCUUUUCCGCGGACACGGCUAUUCGAAUAGAUGAUGUUAACCCUGCAGGGGUGUACUUCUUCACACACGCUCUCACCACUUACCGCCGUUUACACGACAUGUACUCGGCAACCUUCAAGCGGAAGCCCAACGUGGGUGUCGGCCACGGCCUGCCUAAACACUCAAGUCUCUAGUCCAGGUUUAUCGCCUAUUCGGGUUCCAUCCAUGAGGAGAUCCGGCCGGAGUUUCGCUCACAGCCCCAAACGAUGUGAACAGGGUUCCCGAGACACCAAACGGGCGCCCGGUACACCGUGCCACGUGCCUACCGCAUCAUAGCCCACCCCUCCGGUCAGCGCUGCCCACGGCCUCCAGCAUACUACAAACACCAGAAACUACUUGCAACUCCUGGACAGAGGACAAGGGUGAUCAAGAAGCCGAGAGGGUCCAUUGGUUUCGGGCCCAAUGCGUGGUAGUAGCUGAAUCAUGGAUCACAAACACAGAACUCAGUUCCUGAGGACGGCUGGAAUGAGACAACCCACCAUGUACUCCUACAUGGCCUCUCACCGCUACCUUUACCAAAUCGUAUUCACACACUUAGCUCACACACAGUAGGACAUGUUCACACACCUCUGAUUCAUCCCCGAUGAAUCAGACCUGACUCAACUCUAAGCAGUAGCAGGCAUGACAAACAAGCAUGAAUGAGUAGGCACAACAGGGCUCAAACAACUCCUACUCAUGCUAGUGGGUUUCAUCUAUUUACUGUGGCAAUGACAGGUCAUGCAAAGGAUAAAGGGGUUCAGCUACCGCAGCAAGUAACAGAUGAAUCAUUGUUGUCCUAAUGCAGUAAAAGAGAGCAGGAGCGAGAGAGUAGGAUUGUAUCGGAAUGAACAAGGGGGUUUUGCUUGCCUGGCACUUCUGAAGAUAAUAUAGUUCUUCAUCGGUGUCAUCGAUCUCGUCGUCGGAGUCACGUCUAUCGAGAGGGGACAAACACCGGCAAACAAGAAAGAACACAAUCAAUGCAAUGCACAAUAUGAUGCAUGCUAUGACAUGGCAAUAUGAAUGUGUUUUGGGCUAAUGCACCUAGCUAUGAUUUAAAUGAGGUUGGUUUGAAUACAUGAUUCAAAUUCCAACUCCAUAUAUGGUUAUUUAAAUGCCAUUUAAUUGAUUUGUGCUAAACAGCAGCUAUAAGUUGUUCUAACAUGCAUGAAAAUGGUACAGAUGGAUUCCUUGAAUUUUUCUGAUAAUUUUUCAUAUAUAAAUUAUUUAAUUUGGAGUUACGGUUGAAUUUCUAUGAUUUUUAGAAGUUUAUACAAUUUUCUGGAAUUUCCUGCAUUUAUUUUAAAAACCAGAAAUGAUUUAUUGCGUCAGCACUAGGUCAUGCUGACCUCAGCAGGUCAACAGGCGUCGACCAGGUCAAACCUGACUGGUGUGGCCCACCUGUCAUUGACUCAGCACUAACCUGGGUUUAGUUAACUCUUAACUAAAGUAAUUAGAAGGGCUGGGGCCCACAUGUCAGUGACACAGGAACUAAUCCCGGUCAAACCCAGCGCUGACUGGGGUUUGACCAGGGGUGGGGCCUAUUGUUAGUGGUUGUAGGUUGUUUAGUUAGUUGGGUUAGCUCCUAAUGACGGAGCCACGUCGGCUCGCCGGAGUUUGGCCGACGGCGACCAAAAACGCGGCGGAGACGCACCGAGGUGGCUCGGGUUUCGUCUAUACUGCACCGUUCAGUGCGCCCUUUGGCCCUACAGAGAGCUGGCGCGAUGGCGCGUCGGAUGGUCGUGGUCUCCGGGCCUGGGGUGGCCGGAGUCGACGGCGGCGAGCUCGGUUGCGGCCGCCGGAGCUCGGGUGAGACACGGGCGACCACUAGGGGGCACGAGAGGGCGAGCUGCGGCAUGCAACGGGCUCGUGGAGACGUUCUGAGCAUGAUGGUGUACUCGGGUGGGAGCUCCAGUGGCUGUGGCCACGGCUACGCCAUGGCCGGCGGCGAGAUGUUCUCGGCCGUCAUGGGGAAUGAAGCUAGAGAACGACCGCGAGCUUGAGAGAAGAGGGGAGAGGAAGAGGGGCUCACGGCGAGUGCAGAGGUGGCCUCGGCGUGCUCGGGGAAGACUCGGUGACGGCGAAUCGGCGGCAGCGGGCGGCGGAGCCCGAGGAGGAAGACGAUGGUGAUGGCGGCGUUCCAGGGCGUCCGGCGCCGUGCGUCUCUACGAGGAGGCGUAGCCCACAGUGGCAGGGCGCGUGGGCACGACGGCGAGGCGAGAGGGAGGCUGUGGCCGCGUCGGCGUGCGGCGGCGCUUUCCGGUGUGUUCAGGCGUCGUGGGAGAGAGCGACAGAGGAGGAGUUGGGGACGAGGGAGAGUGCGAGGGGGUUCCAGGGGUGGCGUGGAGCUGCGGGAGACGCCCAGGGAGAGGAGGAGGCAGCCAGGCAAGGUGGUGGCGUGGCGAGCUCGGCGGCGUCGCGGUGUCCCUCCUCUGCCUACUGGCACGAGGAGGAAGGCGACAGGGGGAGGCGCCUGGUGGGCUGGGCCGGCCAGCUGCAGUGCUGGGCCGGUUGGCUACCAGGUGAGGCUCUAGGUGGGCUGCAGGUAGGUGGCCCAGGUAGGCUUCUGCUCUUUUUUAUAUUUCUGUUCUGUUUUCUUUUAUUUAAUCUUUUGCCACUGUUUUGAAUUUAAAAUAAUUCAAACAAUGCCAAAAACUCCUCUGAAUAUUUUUAUUUUGCUAGAUGGACUUUUCCAAAAGCUCAUAAAAUAUUUCAGGGGUAUUUGAAAUUAUAUUCUAAUUAUAUGAAUAUAAUUCAAAUUCAAAUAGCUAAUGAUUUAAAUUCAAAGUCCCAAGAUUAAGUCCUUAAAAAUGUUCAAUAUUUUGGUUGGGACCAGAACCCUUGCCAAAAAUUAUCAAACAUUUAAGAAGAGCAUUUUGGAACAACGAAUGAGAUUUUAGGGUUUUUGCCCUUCUUUUAUUCAAGUUUUUGAGGCUUCCAAAUUUCCUCAGUUCAAGUUUCAAAAAUUUAAACAUGAUGCAAACACUAGGCAGCACCAGAAGCUAGGGAUGUGACAUAUGAUUUUUUUGGUUAGAGGAACACACAUGAACAAGUCGGGGUAUCUCCCCGUAUGAGCAGGGCUGGUUAAAAAGUUGAUUACUUUGUGUGUGUUUGCGUGAAGAUUGGAGGCUGCAACUUCUAAUCUGUACGUGAGUACUUGUGCUCGUCCAUGUGAUUCCGGCUGUUCGCAGGGUUUGCAUGUUGUUUGUUUGGGUUUGCAUCUAGUAAACCUAAUUCUGGAUCAAGGUUCCACUGCUGCACAAAUUGAUUUGGGUGUUGUUUCUGUUCGGACGUACGGGAGGCCAGAAAAAGCAAAUAAUAGCUACUGCAGUUUCGAGAAGAAAUACUUAUUGCUAUUUUCUGUACCGUGAAAGAUUGGAAAAAAUUAUUCGCGCCGUUGAAGUUUCUGUCGACGUUCGCAUCACAAGAAAAUAGAAUGAACUAAACCAAAUAUCCGCCAUGCAGCCUCACUUUGAAUCAUUGAUGGACAUCAAUUCCACCGUACAUUUAAAUCCUAAAAGCUUCGGAUGUUCGAUAAGUUUUCAAAAUUCAUCAAUCCAAAUUUAACCAUACUCCUCAAAAGCGGCCUUCGUCUCAAGCUUUCUCUCCUUCAUCGACACAUGUUGUUUAUCCAUAUGUUGUGCCCCUAGAGGUUCAUCCAACAAUGCAUCAAUGUGAAGGGUUUGCCCUCCAUCCUUCGGUACAACGCGACAGCGUGUCCAGACUAUACAAUGACGUGAUCAAGUUACAAUAUUGAGUGAAUCAAUGAACUGAUCAACACUUAAAGCAAUAAGAAGCAAAACUUACGAUCUCCAUGAUUGAUGUGCCCGGUAGCCACCUUCUUUACACUUGUCGUAAUUCAUGACGAUGUUUGAAAUGGUGUACAAUCGAUGGAGUAGUGACUUCACGUUGCGACGGAUCACAUCCAAGUUGUAGGGCGCGUAGUGCUAAUACUCGUGAAACCAAGAAUGCACGUGUUAUGCUCAUGAAACCAAGAAUGCGCGUGUUAUCAAAAUAUUGUGCCCUUUUGCUUCAUGCCUACAAACCAUGCACUUGUUCCCAACGACGCGUCGCAUAACAAUGCAUCACCCCUACCAAGUACCCUGUCAUCACGCUUGCUUCAUGUUAAACAAGAAGAAAGCAAAAAAAAAUCUCAAUGGCAUUUGGCCGCAAAAUAAAAUCUUAAUGGCAUUUGGCCGAACACUUGUAGGGCAUGGUGUCCGCCAUGGACGGCGUCCAGACGGCUGCAAUGGUUGCAGAGCACAAGGCACCUGGAUGAAGCACCAGAGGUCUGGCAAGAACUCAGCGGCGGCCAAAGUGGUGGCGAUGUGUUGAUGGGUGCAGAUGGAAGGUAUAAAGCGGAGGGAAAGAGAGGUUCUGGGUGGGCCGAGUAUGUCGGUGUCCGAACUCCCUCAAACCUCCCACGAGUUUGUUUUCGGUUUGGGGGAUUUUGGACGUCCAGACUACACCCCAGACUGCACGAUCCGUACACGGUUACUUUAGAGAACCACGUUGGAGUUGCACUAAGGAGUAAGGGGACAAAUAACACGCACAAACGAAACGACGCGACAAUUGUUGGUACAAAACGUUCAUACGAUCACUGAUUGUUGGCAGUUUAACAACACUCAGGCACAUAAACUCACAAUAGAACACCUAUACAUAUGGUUGUACUUUGGCCUCAUCUCUGGAUGAUGGCAAAAACUUACUACCAUGUCUUCCAAGUUAUGUAGAUAGCAAUUCAAAAGACUUGAUAAAUGUUGGACAUAUGCCUGGGUUGGCACAAGGUCCUGGUGGUUCAGACAGGACCCAUCAGUUGUCAUUCUGCCUGAGCAUCUGUAGGAUGGUCAGGAACAGGUUGAGGAUGUCGAGGUAAAGCUCAACAGACGCCCAGAUGUACUCGUCAUAAGUGUGGCGCUUUAUCAAGUUCUCAGUGUCGUAGACGAUGAAGCCUGAGAAGACUAGAGCUCCAAACCCACCGAUCACAGCAUUCGAUGCAGGUCCAAAUGGGAAGAAGAUCUGCAACACAGCAAUUUGCGGCACAAGGGUUACAACUAGUGGAAUGUUCAACCGGAAUGCUUCUAUGCGAGUCAGUUAAACGAUAUUUUCCAAAGUUCAUCAUGCAUGUUACCUGGGUAAAGCUUAUCACGACCAGGAUGGUGAGAGCAGAAAACAGAAACGGUCCAAGGUAACUAAAUUCCUUGCCCUUCUUUGCGGCCCAGAAUGUGUAUGCAGUCAGAGAGACAACCACAGCUGAGGUCAGUACCAAUGCUUGAAGCACAAUAGUUCCUGCAACAUACAAGUGAGCCUUUAAUAAAACUAGUCUAAAGCAAGAAGACAAUGAAAACAAUUAUAUGAAAGAAACAAACCUUCAGUGUUUGCACAAGCCACACCAAUGCUGAAGCUCAAGCACAGAGUGAACAAACCCAAGAUAGCAAGAUUGUGAGGGUGUCUGUGCUGAUAGAUGUACAAUGGGAUCAUCACUGCAACAAAUAUCACAAAAUUAGCUAAGGGAAACAAUAUCUUCUGAUACAAAAUAACAACAAUGGAUUGUCAUCUGAUCAGCAUUCUCUCAGAACUCAAAAGAUGGUCCAGGGGAAGGGGUCUGGGAGUGCUUCAGUGUGAUGGAUUGAUGCUGCUGGAAAUACUAACACGGGCAGAAUUUCUAUUCUCUUGCACUCUAUGUUCUGAGACUUCAGACUCCUGCCAAAUUAUUUCUCCAUAUCCUACUGGACUAAAUAUUAAUCAUUAGGACUUUAACAUAUUUGUGUCUAAUUUGAUGGUGCAAGUAUGAUUUUACCAAGAAUCAGUUUGCUCAAAUAAGAAAAUUUCAGAACAAAGAAACGUUCGCAAUUUAUAUGCACCUACGGAGAUAACGCCAAAAGUGCUAUAGUGCUAUGGCUGAAAGUGGUUUAGUAACUUCAAAAUGUAAUAUUUGUGGGCAAUAUGAACUAGAGAGAAAACACACAACUGAUCAAUUUGUUAUACAUGUAUCAUAGAUUGUUUUCACAUAGGACAUUGAUAAGGAUUUAGUCACUACUAGCUUCAACUUUCUAAUGAUGAAAGGAACUAAACAGCCAAACAAUAUGAGACCAAAACAUCAUUACCUGCAUCAUAACCUACACGUACAGACAGAAAUGGAGCUAUAUCAGGAAAAUUAGUACUUAUUACAGUUCCUCAAAUACAAUACUAUCUCUAGUUGCAACCAUGCACACUAACUAUCGACACAAACUACUACUCCCUUAGUUCAACCUUCGUUCAAAACUGCGACACUUAUUUUGGAUCGGAGGGAGUAGUAAACUAAAACUUUCUCGGCUUUGCUAUUUCUCAGGUACCUGAAAAUUUCUCUGGCGUCAGUCACCUACUUCCUUCCUCCCUUCUGGCACGGGGAGGUUGAGGGGAGGGCGGGGCGGCGAGGCGGUGCGCAGUAGCGCCCGCCAGCCGCGGGUGCUGGAGGCUGGCGGUUAGGGCGGGGCAGGCCGGCGGCAUCGCGAGGAAGAAGAGAGGGAGGUAGAAGAUGAACAGUGCGCGGCCGAUCUGUUUUUGUUCGUUGGAUGAAGAUCUACUGGCUCUGGUUGAAAGUAACUGAUGGACUUUCAUUUUCAGGUACCUGACUUAUAGUCGGUCCCAAACUUUCUAGUCUCUCUCACUUCCAACAUGGCCAACACUAUCAGAAUGGUCAUCAAGUACCAAGUCCCCCACCUCACUUUCAUUUGAGUCAAAGCGUAAACACUAUCCCAUCCAUGUUUUGUGCUAUCGAUUAGGUUGUUGGGGAAGCCAAUUAUUUUAUCAAGGAAACGAAUUGAACAAAAAACUCUGGUCGCUAUGAAGGCCUUUACCACACCUCAAGGCAUGCUAAACUGAUACCAGGGCCUACUAAACCUUGACAUUUGAUGUAUAUUCAUAUAGUGGCUACCUUGAGUGGUGGCAACCAUCAAGGCGUCUAUUUAGGGUGUGUUUGGUUGCUGGAACGACGUGGAACGUCACGGGUCCGACCCAUUCCCGAGCAUCGUUCUCGCGUUCAGUAGGGAGAUGGAACGGUCACCGCCUCGUUCCUAGGAACCGAAUAUUCGGCCCAGAUGCGGAACCAGGUGAUACCUCCAAAACGAACGGACGACGCGGAACCGGCUCUCUUCUCGCGCCCCCAGCCCUAUCGCCUGUCCUCACUGCGCCGCCUCCUCCUCGUCUCUCUCUCCCUCGAUCUGCGCCGCCCCGCCCCGCCUUCCCCUGAUUCUUCCCCUUGCCGCGGCUGACUCCUCCCCUCUCGAUCUGUAGCACACGAGGGAAGCAGGCCGUCCUUUCUCUCGAUCUGGAGCUGCGUGGCGGUAGUUUUGCAGAAGGGUUGCAGCAGGGCGGCGGUGUAGGCGUGAUUCCGGCGAGCUAACAACGGCGGUAGAGGCUCCUCUCCUCAAGGUGCGACAUCUCUUCCUUACCCCUUGUAUGUGCUCUGUGCUGUUCAAAGUAGUGCAGCCACUGUUACACUUUGCAGUCAUGGAGAUUGCCCAGCCGAGAGAGAUGCAGAGAUGGACUCAUGGUUGUCUUUUGAUUCAUUUUGUUUCUCUAUACUGUUCAAACGAAGGGGAUCUUUUCCUAAUUUCUACUGAAAUACAUGCUGUCCAGUUUAUCUUUGCAAUAUAUGUUGAUGUGUUAAAUCCCUACUUCCCUAGUACAAGUCAUUGGUAGCCAUAUUCUUGAUAGUGUUUACUCCUCUCUACCUCUUCAGAUUUUGUUGCUGCAACCUCUACAAUCUACCUCAUACAUUGGUCAAGCGUGCUGCUGCUGCUGCUCCAAGGCAGGAUGCCACACUCAAGCCAAAUGCACAAAUUAUCCCAAAGAAGGCAGCAUACAUUUGUUCAGAUCAAAUUGUGUUCUGUGUAAUAUCAUAUAUGUAUCAUGCUUGUCAAUAUAUAGUGUUAUGUUGUUUUUUAAAGUACAAUAGAAAUGCUGCCGAAAUUUUGAAUUUUUGUUAUUCCGUUUUUCAUCCAUGCUUCCAAACCAAACACAGGAACGGGACCAUUCCAUUCUACUUUUUUGCUCAUACCAAACACAGGAAUGGAACUGACCCGUUCCUUUGGAAUGGAACCAUUCCAUUCCAUGACAGUUGGUUCUUCAACCAAACACACCCUUAGAACCCUGUCCUGCCGGCUACGCUCCAAACUCGACUCCACAUUAAGUUGUCUGAAGAAACUCUGAUGUCUUCAGGUCCUAUAUCAUGGAGGCAAACCACAGGUGCAUAUAACCCUUCAUAUAGGCCCGUUGCACACAACUACAGUCAAUAUAUAUAUCAUGUUAUUAAGGGCAUGGUAACAGCUUCAGCAUUAUUCCUAUUGCAUGUAUAUCACCAUGGAUUCGUUGCUUACUGAUUAUGAACGGCUUCAUCUUAAUUCACAAUUCGAUUUGGAAAGAAGAAAAACACAUAUAAUGUAACUUAAAUUUGUAACCAAAAUCCACUGAAUCAAACUAUUGCAGCUUGAACUAGCUAGAUCCACGACCUACGCUGUUGAUUCGAACAGCUGGGCGUCCUACGACCAACGGGUCAAGCAAACUGCUAAUUGAGGCGAGGUCAACGAAUACCUAGGCGUCGUCAGAUUCAUCACAGAAUAAACGCGCCACGACAAGGUCAAGGAUGGCGCCAGAUGGGGGAGAAAACUAGAGCACUUACGGAUGAAGGGGAGGACGGCGAGCACGAGCGCGAGGACGGGCGAGUUGGAGAGCGUGGCGUUGAGGGUGGGGUAGAAGACGGUGAUGGCGGAGACGACGGUGGUGAGGACCAGCUGCGCGCAGAGGAUGCCGUAGACCUUGCGGAUGAAGCCCCAGCGGAGGGCGUUCUCCCCGCGCGAGAUCCCCGGGUAGAGCGUCUCCCCGUUCCCCGCCUCCAGGUCGAUCGACGACGCCUCCACCUUCUCCUUCAUCUCCGGCGCCCGGCGGUAGCCCGACGGUGCCAGCGGCUGCAUCUCCGUCGCCGACGCCAUCUCUCUCACCGACGCUGUCGGUGGUGGGGAAUUGGGGAUUUUCGGUUGGGACGCGGUCUGUUCGAUGUGCGACGAAUUGGGGAUAUAUAGAUUUUUCUUUCUUUUUGUCCUUCGGGGAGAAAUGACGCUGUGUAUAUCUAUCCGCUACUGCUACGGGUACUCCUGGGUGGUGCCGAACCUUUUCCUGGCAUCUGAGAGGUGGGGCCAAUUUGGCAUGUUGUUUCUGGAAACUUGUUUGGACCUAGAUGCGUUUUGUGUGUGUGUGUGUGUGUUGGUAGGCUAAAAAAUUCUAUACAUGCCGAUUUCAAUCAUUUCCCCUUCCUUUUUCUUAAAGAUCAAAGACCAUAUAUUAAGUAGCACAUACCCUCACAAAAACAACAUUAAACAAAUUUAAAGUGCAUUCAAAUCCUUGAGCUUGAGAGUGCGAAAUCUUCUUCUUUCUGCAUAAGCUUGCUUUUGCCUUUGGGUCCCCAUUUCAAUGGAGCAAACUUGUUUAAACUUAGAAGCUUAUAAAAGCAGCAGUCGGAAAGUCAUCGAUUUGGAUCAGAAGAUGCCGGUGGCGGCCAUGAUAUGCGUAACAAUUCGUUGUUUUAGAGAGAAUACGACGGGGAGAGGUUGUAGAACGCCCUGGUUCCAAACACUGUUAAACAUUAAGUCUGAACCUAACAGGUAAGCGUAGCAUUUAGGGAGGGUUGCUGAGAGUUGACGCAGGCCUGCCGCUGAAGAGGUCGAGCGUGGACUUCCUGGGGUCAAAUCGCAAGCUCUCGCCAAGUUUGACCCUUAUUAAGCGGGUGCGGUUUUGCGUGCUACCGUUUGGCCGCGCGCCACCAAUCCGGCUGAACGCGCCACAUGGUUAAAUUGCGCAGCAUCAUACACAUGAGAUUGGUGGAUAUACCACAAGUAAUUCCAUAAACUUGUGAAACGGCAAAAUUGUUGCAUAGCAAGCAUAUGAUGUGUAAACACCUAGAAUAAAUAUCAAAUAACGCAUGACAGUAAAGAUACCUCAUAAAUCGUUGGUGUUCUCAAUUGUAUGGUGAUGCAUAUUCAUUCAUGUCAUCAUUAGCAUAAGGUAUGUAAACUGAAAAUUCUGACCCUCCAUACCAGACAUUGUAUGUAGGUAUCGACCCUAUAUCCUCCUACAAAUAGGGCUCAAGAGUCUGACAAAAUUCUCCUAAACUACACAUUAGAGUGCAACUAUGCCAAAUCAUCAUCAGUUUACUUGUGACAAGAUCGCUGCCUUGGACAGCGGAGGGUGAAGAAUCAAACAGUGAUGGAAAAAAAGAAUGCAAGAUCCUAU